rnacentral:lncRNA from 1 species
CGAGCACUUGUAUUCGAGCCUCGAGGCCCUUGGCUUGUAAUAUGAUGCUUGUAUGACUUAUUUGUGUUUUUAGAGUUGUGUUGUGAUAUUUUCCCGUGAGUCCCUGAUCUUGAUCGUACAUGUCUGCGUGCAUGAUUAUUGUACGAUUGAAUCGGGGGCGUCACAAGUUGGUAUCAGAGUCGUCUGCCUGUAGGAAUCCCCCUUCCACACUCCUUUGCCGAAGUCGAGUCUAGACAUUGCAAAACUUUUGACUAACAUGGCUGUGUGGCUUAUGGGCCCACGUCGCCAUUGGGUGGUAUUAGGAUCUUUUAUUCCUCGUCUAUACUCUGGGACUCUUAUCUCUCUUCUACUCAGGUUAAAUGGUUUUACUAACUCUAACUCUAGGUUCUCGUAACUACUUCCUCCCGGAGAGCCACUCGAUACAGGUGACCGCCUGAUGCACUUGAAGAUUUUGAAGUUACUCUCCGAUGUUCCCUUGAUACUCUGUGCCGUCGCUUUUGCAAUUCCCUACCACCGAUACAUCCCUUUGGAUAAAUACUUACACCUGUCCUUCUUACUUCCAUUCCCAACUGCUCUUGUUAUGACAAGAUGCAUCAUAUUAUUCUUCGACUAUUAAGAAUCUCUUGAGCCACUGCCUUGCACAUCUUUGCCGCACGAAUACCCCUAUGGAUAAUUCCUCACACUUACUGAGGAUUCGUUCAUCCCCAAUUAAUAAUGUGAUUCACAAAAGCCUUUGAAAUACCAUUCGGUCUUCCGAAAAUCCUGAGCGGUCAAUUGCUCUUGAAAUUCUUGCUUUCUUGCGUUAUGGUUGAUCCCAUAUGUCUCAUAAUGUUAUUGGCAUCCCUUGUCUUUAUCAUUUUAAGUCCGUUAAUUCAAUAUGUUGAAGAUGCCCGCAAUCCUCAAUUAGAUCCUAGAAUUCAUCCUUCUGGCUCAGACGUCAUUUUAAACCUGGGCUGGAUCUCGACCAUCUAAUUGCCAUCGAUUGUACCCCCAAGCCUACUCAACUUAUCCAUCCUUGAUCAGAGUGUUUGCUUCUGAUCCCUUGAUUUGUAGAUCAUAAAAUUUCUUUGCAUUAAGCUUUGAAUUAGUCAGUUGUUUCUAUAAUCUGAUGCCUUGGCAUUCCUUCUUCCCCUGAUUGAGUACCGAUACUCACAUCAGCCCCAUUGUGGACCGCCAUACCCAUUGCUAGGUUAUUAUCCGAUAGUGUCCUUCACAACCAAAAUUCUUGUGAGUUCUUUACCUGAUACAUAAUGCCUUUGGUAAAUUGUGUCUUCUGCCUUUGGCAAGUUAUAUCCUAUGCCUUUGUCAACCAUGCUCUGCUUUGAGCACGUGUUAAUUGAUCCUAAAGUUCAUGGUAUAUGUUCUAAGAUGCCCCGAUGGGUUGAACCUAUGCCUUCCUUAAUCUGUGAUAACCCGAAAGUUUUCACGGGUUAUACUCCUCUAGCAAUUCACGAGGUAGGUUUCGACACUGAAAUCAUUUUAACUAGAGCAGUGAAUGAAAGGUUAUGCAUUGAAGAAGUGGGAGUCGACCUUGAACUUUGUGUUCAUGCCCAUGGACACGAUGUAGAUCCUAUCAUGGAAGCUUCUUGCAAUAAUAACUGUUUCCUUGAAAAUAUCAUCUGGAUCUGUGAAUUGGUCCUUUGCAAUCGUGGUUCCGACCAUAAUUUCUUCCUUUGAUUUCAUUUCUCAAACAAGUAAAAGCUCUUGUCUUCUAUAGAUCAAUACACCCCACUUCAACCUUUAAUUUGAUAUGCCUUCGAGUAUUAUCUCCCUGGUAUCUCGAGGAUAUCAUGCCAUUGCACUACAUCUUAUGAAUUUGUGCCGGAGUAAUACCUUUCCCUAUCAUAGUCACUCCAUGAGUUUUGGGUUGUCGUCAACCGAGAACACUGAAUAGUGAAUCGAGUCCGCACUGCGAUUCGACAACUCUUAGUAAUCUUCAUUGCUUACGAAUUUAAUAGUCCAUCAUGUCAUUCCUAGCCUUAUCGGCUACAUCAUUAUCGUGCUAAAUUUAACUGUGCUAUCUGGUUCUUCCCGGAGCACAAAUUUCGACGGUGAGCUAAUCUUACGUCGAUCUUCCUCGUCAUAUCAUUUCUCCUUGAACAACAAACUUGAUUUUGAGUUUGUGUCGUACCCAUGGUUCCAAUAACCUUUCGCUUCAUCAUUCCUUCAACUUGAUGUCAUGGCCGAUCGAUUACAUCUUCAUGAGAUCUCUCGACAAAUGUGUCGUGAUCAUCAUCAGCAUUCUGAGCUCUUCCAAGAUAUCCAUCGAAUUCUUGAUGAGAAAUACCACCCUUUGCUCUCGGUGAUUUGUGUUAUCAUCGACCACUUUAUUGCCUUUUGUUCAACACAAACUUGUUCGUGUUUUGUGUUAUACCUUGAGCUCCUCUCUAUCUAGCUCAUGUUCUGUUUUACCUUGGAGUAUUAUCAUCUCUUUUUGUCAAGAAUGUGGUGAGAAUUUCACCACCUCUUAAGAAUUCUUGAUAUAAUAACACUUCUCGCCAUCUUCGUUCAUUCCUUGGUCCCCGUGUUGUUUUUAACCGGAAUACCGACAAUUGAGCUAUGACGCGUGAAUUAAAAACUUCUAGCAACCCUAUUGCUUUGAAGUGAAUGGGUGAUAGUUUCAUUCUAAGUCUUUUGAUAAUUGAAUCACCAUUCUAAACAUUGAUCAUGCUACCUAAGCCCAUAUUAUGGGUGCAUCUUUCAACCAAUGUUUAAGUGUGUAGGUUUUCCUCGAGCAUGCAUCAUUAUACCGUUUGAUCUGGCAAAUGUUAUCUCCUUGUUCGCAUAAUUGUGGAAAUCCAUCCUUUGGAAAUCUCGAUGAUUCGUCGCUGAGUCCAUCAGCCACCUCAUCAUCCUCUCCUUGGUUUACUGAUGAACUCUUGUUUCGAAACUUGCUUCCAUAGAUCAUUUCCCAAGAAUCUUGCAAUAUCAUUUCAUCGAUUCAUGACGCACCUUUUCUUCUCGGACAUCUCGAGUCUGAGGUAUUCUGACACCAAUCAGAUCUGAAUCUCGGUCGGAUAUGAUGGUUGGAACACAUUUCAAGAGUUAUAACAUUGGUCCUUAUAUGACCCGGUAAGGUGAUGUCAUGCCUAGCACACCUGGCCUGAGGACCUAUUAUUAUAGUUUCCUUUUUCGCAAGGUUAGCUGCUCUUCCAUGAGGAAAUUGUAAGACCUAUUCUACAAGUUGUUCCUAAUGGAUCCUUCGUGUAUCCAAAGUCUGACCUUGCUUGAAGACCAUAUCAAUGCUAUCUCGAAGCAUGUCUGUGGCACUACGAUCUUCAAUAAGAACAUUUGAAGCACAAUGCAAAAAUUUACUUAUCAAUUAUCCAAACACUUCUGUAUGGAUAAUGUCAUGAAAUUUCUCCCCCCCCCUUACCUAAAGGGUUUUGUACAUUAUAUCCUGCCAAGGAUAUCAUGCUUUGCUUGUCCUUGGGAAGGAUAUUCCUCUGAAAUAUUUGUUUAAACACAUUUCCUUUCCAUUAUUCUGUUUAAUCUAAUAAUCAUAUUUUCCUAUCCAUUGUUUGGUUUAACCUUUCUUGUGAUCUAUAUGAUCUGAGCAGUAUUAUUCUCCUGCUUAUGUAAACACCUCGGUGUAUAAUUCUAUAAGCAAGACCUUGUUUCUAUUGUUGAUGUUUUCGGUAACCAUCGAUGGAUGGGAACUUUGCCUAUUGGUCUGCCUCAUUCAACGAGCGGGAAAAUGGUUCUCGUCCCUCGCCCUUGGUACCAACGUUGUUGCCAACAUAAUUGACCGGCUAUCCUUUGACAUACCUUGCUAUUUCAACCAUGCAAGAUGUCACCGCUCUUUCUACGUUUAAAACCACAUGGUGGGCCCAUAACCACAGUUCUACAGGAUCGAAACCUGACUCCUAUACAACCCCCGGUUUCCAAAGUUAUUCCUCGCACGUGGCCUCAAAUGUAAAUCACGGGCCACCUUUCUAGUGAUCUAUUCUGGCAACAGACGCAAUACUUAGUCUCGUUGCCCUGGACCCCUUUCGCACCUUGUUCAGACAUCGAACGAUUGCCUAUCCGUUUGAAACGUCUCAUGGUACCUUCUUACUUUGCUCUCGAUAUCUUCUAAGAGUUCAAUUUGAGAGAUACUUAUGCUUCUUCCCCUGAGUUAACCGUCCGAUGCCCAAUCUUGUUAGAAUUCGUUCUUAUAAAGUUUUCCACUCUUAUUCCUUAAGUACGGUGAAGAUCCUGAAGGAAGGUCGGCAACUUCAUCGUGAUGACCUAAAGUAGAGAAAUGAAGACAUCAAUAUAUUGGACCGGCCUCUUCGAGAAGAGCAAGCCAGGAUGAGAAGACCCUCUAGAUUCAUUACCAAACCUUCCCCCCUUUCACUACCUCUUAAAUCUCGGGACGAGAUUUCUUGUAGUGGAGGAGAAUUGUGACACCUGGAUAAUUAAGCUACAGUGAUCCCUCGCUAAUGAUGCCACGUCACCUCGGUUACUAUUGUUAAUCUCCCGAUGAUUCAACCCUGUUUGAAUUCAAAUUUAAAAUAAAAACAAGAAAGAAAAGUUUUCAAACACUAAAAACUAAAAUGUUCACAAUAUUGCAAAAAUUACAAAAGCUGAUAUAAAAAUAAAACCAACACUUUAUAAACUCCAGAAAUUCCACUAGGAAUUAAAACAGUGGACCAAUAGCAAAUCACUUGGCCUUUUCGCUUUCUAAAAAUAAUUAAACCUUUUCAAAAGACCUUCAGCUUUUUGUGUGGCAUUGCUAUAUAAUGCAAGAUGUUCAUGUGACAAGCUACAUGAUUUACAAAAGUCCUUUGGUGGUUAAGCAAUUAACAAACUAGAGCAAAAAUAAAAAAAUAAAAUAAAAACUGUAGAAAAGGAAAAAGAAAUAAAAGACAACCCCCCCCCCCGACUGGGCCUUGGCCCAGUUGGCUGAAGGAGCUAGUCGGCCCAGCCGACCCACGCCCGCACCCCCUGGCCUACAAGGCCUCCUCCCUGCCCCGUGACCUAGCGCCACCUCGCAUUACCCCACUCGCCCCUACUCCCCCUCAUCCCACUCGUCCUCUGCCUCCCCCCCGAUCCUCCUCGACUGGAUCGGGGCAACAGCCACCCGACCAACAUCGCCGAUCCUGCCGCCCAUCGCCCCUGGACCACCACCGCGCCCCCGUCCUCCUCUGGACGCCGCCACCCCGGCGACGCCAGGCGCUCGCUGGACCUCGUCGGCGUCGCCCCUUCGUUUCUCCCUCCCUAGAUCUCUCGAGCCACGACGCCGCCACCACGGGUGCCCCCUCUGCCACCACGUCUCUCCCUCGUCUCCGUCCUCUCGUGGUUCUUCAUCAGCAUCGCCGCCGGCCUACUCGAGCUCCUCCUCGACCCCCGCUGCUGAAACCCUAUGGCCCCAGUGAGCGCAUUCCCCCUCUUCUCCUCUGUGCGAGUGCACGCCCGCUGUCACACCUCGCCCGCGCGCGUGGCUUUGCCUCGCGGGCGCUGCUGUGGCCUCGCCGGCCCACACACCUGCACCCCCUCGCUCGCGCGCGACGCCGCACUCUCCUGCACCGUCGAGGCCUCCGCCCUUCUCACCGUGGCCUCGCGCGCUUGUCGUCUUCCUCCGUCCGCCUUGCUGCAUGUCGGUAGCCGCGACCCUCCCCAUGCUUCGCCCGGUCGCAGCCACCGGAGCACCACGCCGGUGCGCUGGCGCCCGCGCCCACCAACCACCCCACGGCGCCCAGUCGGGUGCACCCCCGCGGGCCAGCGCCCGUUCGGCUGUGCCCGUUAGCACCCAACGCCCGUAACCCGCAUCGGCCCCUGGUCGAAUGACACGUGGGGCCCAGCCCCCAGAACGUUAAAAAAAGAAAGAAAAGGAAUUAAAAAUAUAAUAAUUAAAAUAUUAGUUUAUUUAUUUAAUUAAUUAAAGAAUUAAUUAACUUAAUUAAGCCGGAUUAGAUUAACUUAAUCAUUUAGUUUAAGCUAAUUAACCCUGUUUAAUUACUAUGAGCCUAUGACAAGCGAGACCCACUAGUUAGUUUGACCAGUCAACAGUCAAUGCUGACUGGGCUGUUGACUUUGACCGGCCCCAUCAGUCAGCCUCUGCUGACUGGGCAGUUGACCAAGUCAACUGGGCCUACUGGUCAGCCACCCAAGCCCAUCUGUGGGUACACUUCUAUGUACCCAUAGCAAUUUAACAUUUAAUUUUCGAAUUAAAAAUAAUUAAAAAAUGAUUUAAACCUUUAGAAAAUCAUAUAAAAUAAUCUGUAUCUCGGAUGAAAAUACUUUGUACAUGAAAGUUGCUCAGAACAACGAGACGAAUCCGUAUACGCAGUCCGUUCGUCCGCCACGCAUCCCUAGCAUAGUGAACCUGCAAUAUUUCACCUCCGGUUCAUCUGUCCAAAAAUGCUAAACAGUAGGGAUACUUUCUCGGAUGUUUCCCCCUUUCGCCGGUCUCACCUACUACCGCGUUAGGGCACACCUAACACUACUCAUUGUCAUGUCUUGCUUCGUCAUGCUUAUGUUUGCAUUAUAUUUAUUGUUUCUUCCCCCUAUUCUCUCCGAUAGACUACGAGAUCGACGCUGCUGCUGCCCCGUUCGACUACGGAGUUGAUGACCCCUCCUUCUUGCCAGAGCAACCAGGCAAGCCCCCCCUGAUCAGCAGAUAUCGCCUAUUCUUCCCUCUACUGCUUGCAUUAGAGUAGUGUAGCAUGUUACUGUUUUGACUAAUCCUAUUCUGUUGCAUAGCCUGUCAUUGUUGUUACACCUGUUGAUACCUUACCUGCAAUCCAAAAUGCUUAGUAUAGGAUGCUAGUUUAUCAUCAUUGGCCCUACAUUCUUGUCAGUCUGCCUUGCUAUACUAUCGGGUCGUGAUGACUCGGGAGGUGAUCACGGGUAUAUGCUAUACAUAUAUACAUACUAUACAGAUGGUGACUGAGGGAGUCCUGGACUAGGGGGUGUCCGGAUAGCCGGACUAUCAUCAUCGGCCGGACUCCAAGAAUAUGAAGAUAAAAGAUUGAAGACUUCGUCCCAUAUCUGGAUGGGACUUUCCUUGGCGUGGAAGGAAAGCUUGGCAAUACGGAUAUGUAGAUCUCCUACCAUUGUAACCGACUCUGUGUAACCCUAGCCCUCUCUGGUGUCUAUAUAAACCGGAGGGUUUUAGUCCGUAGUACGAACAACCAUUACAACAAUCAUACCAUAGGCUAGCUUCUAGGGUUUAGCCUCCUUGAUCUUGUGGUAGAUCCACUCUUGUACUACCCAUAUCAUCAAUAUCAAUCAAGCAGGAGUAGGGUUUUACCUCCAUCGAGAGGGUCCGAACCUGGGUAAAAACAUCGUGUCCCUUGUCUCCUAUUACGAUCCGCCUAGACGCACAGUUCGGGACCCCCUACCCGAGAUCCGCCGGUUUUGACACCGACAUUGGUGCUUUCAUUGAGAGUUCCUCUGUGUCGUCACCGAUAGGCUUGAUGGCUUCUUCAAUCAACAACAACGUGGUCCAGGGUGAGACUUUUCUCCCCGGACAGAUCUUCGUGUUCGGCGGCUUCGCACUGCGAGCCAAUUCGCUUGGCCAUCUGGAGCAGAUCGAAAGCUACGCCCCUGGCCAUCAGGUCAGGUUUGGAAGCCUAAACUUCACGGCUGACAUCCGCGGAGACUUGAUCUUCGAUGGAUUCGAGCCACAGCCGAGCGCGCCGCACUGUCACGAUGGGCACGAUUUAGCUCUGCCACCGGACAGUACCCUGGAGGCCGCACAUGAGUCCGCUCUAACCCAUAGUUCGGAGCCGACCACGCAAAUCGAGGACAAGUGGCUGGACACCAUCUCGGGUGCUGCAACUUCUACGGCGAUGGAGCCGAAUACUGACAUUGUCCUUUGCAAAGCUUGUGACUCCGAGGUGCCAGACUCCUUGCCGGACUCCGAACCUCCUACGCCCCCGCCAAUCGAAUCCGAUUGGGCGCCGACCAUGGAGUUCACCGCUGCAGACAUCUUUCAGCACUCACCCUUUGGCGACAUCCUGAAUUCGCUAAAGUAUCUCUCGUUAUUAGGAGAGCCCUGGCCGGACUGCGGCCAGGAUGGUUGGGAUGCGGACGACGAAGAAAUUCAAAGCCCACCCACCACCCACUUUGUAGCCACUGUCGACGAUCUAACCGACAUGCUAGACUACGACUCCGAAGGCAUCGACGGUAUGGACGACGAUGUCGGAGACGACCAAGAACCAGCGCCUACAGGGCACCGGAAAGCCACCUCAAUUCAUGAUAUAUAUAUGGUGGACACCCCAAAAGGGAGCGAUAACGAGGAACAACGGGACGCGUCGAAGGAUAAUUCCCCCGAAAAACAACCAAAAUGGCGACGCAAGCACCGCCCCAAGUCCCGCCUCGAUAACAACAACACUCAUAAUGACCCAGCCAUAGAGCAGGGCAAACCAGUGGGCGACGAACAUGCAACCAAGCAGCCACCCGAACAAGAUGAAUCGGAUAAUCAACUAAUCCUCGACGAAAACAACAGUCCAGACGAUCUCACGCCGGACACACCACCGGAGCAUAAGAACCUUCAAAAAAGGCUUGUCGCCACUGCAAGAAGUUUGAAGAAGGAGAAACAGAAGCUCAAAACAGCGGAAGACAUACUCAGAAUGAGGUGGAGCAAAGUACUCAAGACCGCGGACAAAUACGGCAAUAGCCACCAAACAAAGAGCUAUCCGAAGUGCAAGCUGUUGCCCGAAUUCGACGAGGAGGCCGUAGAGCCCCCACAAUCAAAGAGCAAAGAGGCCGCCUGGCCGGAUAGACGACCAGAUGACAGGCCAAGAGCGGCAAGCGGCGCCGCACUGUAUCCAGCACAUGACACACAUAAAUAUCCUCGCAAAACGGAUGGCCCGGUCAGGUCCAUUUAUGUGCCAAAAAAGAGGGCCCCAGGAAGCAACACAACACGCCGCGCGUUCGAAGAUAACGGCACACCUAAAUACAGGGGCGCCGCACACCCACUAUGUUUCACCGAUGAGGUGCUGGAUCAUGAAUUUCCAGCAGGGUUCAAACCCGUAAACAUAGAGGCAUACGAUGGAACAACAGACCCCGGAGUCUGGAUUGAGGAUUACAUCCUGCACAUACAUAUGGCCAGAGGAGACGAUCUCCACGCCAUAAAAUAUCUACCCCUCAAGCUCAAAGGGCCAGCUCGGCAUUGGCUCAAAAGCCUCCCAGAAAAUACCAUUGGAAGUUGGGAAGAGCUCGAGGACGCGUUUAGACCAAAUUUUCAGGGGACUUAUGUCCGCCCUCCGGAUGCAGACGAUUUAAGUCACAUAACUCAACAGCCCGGAGAAUCAGCGCGCAAAUUCUGGAACAGGUUCCUCACAAAAAAGAACCAAAUAGUCGACUAUCCGGACGCCGAAGCCUUAGCAGCUUUUAAACAUAAUGUUCGAGACGAAUGGCUCGCCAGACACCUCGGCCAAGAGAAGCCGAGAACAAUGGCCGCGCUAACAAGCCUCAUGACCCGCUUUUGCGCGGGGGAAGAUAGCUGGCUAGCAAGAUGCAGCACCAGCGACCCGAGUACAUCCGAGAUCAGAGAUGGAAACGGAAAAUCAUGGCGCAGAAAGGACCAGCGCCGAAAUAAAGAAAACAGCCCAAAGAACACGGCGGUCAACGCCAGAUUCAAAAGCUCGCGGCCGAACAAUAAAACACUGCCUCUUAAGGACAACAAUGACGAGCUAUCCAACCUAAACAAAAUUUUGGAUCGGAUAUGUCAAAUCCAAAGCACCUCCGGGAAGCCUGCAAACCACACCCACCGAGAUUGUUGGGUCUUCAAACAGUCCGGCCGACUCAACGCCGAACACAAGGGGCUCGACGCGCCAAGCGAGGAUGACGACGAACCCCACCAGCAGAGCGCCGGAAAACAAAAGACUUUCCCACAAGAAGUCAAAAUAGUAAACUCACUUCACGUGAUAAUACGAAACAAUAGUGCGGCACCCGCUAAAGUAUGGGUCACACGGUCCACCCCAGCGGAACCCCGAGAUUGGAUGUCAAAACCAAUUACUUUCGACCACCUGGACUAUUCCAGAAGUAUUCGAAAUGCAGAAUGGACUGCUCUGAUAUUGGAUCCUAUAAUCGACGGACUACAAUUUACACAAGUCCUAAUGGAUGGUGGCAGUGAUUUAAACCUGCUAUAUCCGGACACAAUCCGCAAGUUGGGGAUAGACCCUACUAAAAUUCGCCAUAGCCGCGCUUCCUUCAAGGGAGUGACGCCAGGCCCUUAAGCCAAGUGCACGGGCUCCUUACUAUUAGAAGUUGUGUUCGGAUCACCCGACAACUCCCGCCGCGAAAAGCUAAUCUUCCAUGUCGCCCCAUUCAAAAGUAGCCAUCAAGCACUAUUGGGACGCGAAGCUUUCGCCCGCUUGAACGCAAUACCGCACUACGUGUCUCUUACACUUAAAAUGCCCGGUCCACGCGGCAUCAUCUCAUUAAAAGGUCGUUCAAGACCCCGGACACGGCUAGGCGAGUCCGGCAUAAAUAAACUAGGGGCUCCCUAGCCGCACACCCCUUCACAAGGGGCUGUGCGUAUGAGCAAUAAAGAGCCAGUAAAAGCUCAACUUUAUUCAUUCAUUCAUACUUCGAUUUUUAAUACAUUUUCACACGAUUUCUUUUCAAACUAAGUUCCUCUCUUUUACAGAUGAAUAGCAUGUUACGCCCGUCCAGGAUACAGCACAAUGGAGACACAGGCGCAGACGUGCAGUAGGGACCCGUUGCAAGGAUUCUUUUCAGAUUAAGACCCUGCGUAAACCUUUUUUACUGUCUCUUGUUGCUAUACAUCCCCUGGUUUCUCAUCAUAACCAGAAAGGAGGCUGACGUUUUGGCAUCGGCCGCGUCAGAGGAUCUCGCGUGUACCUGGACACUAGGGGCUUAGGGCAUUGAUCUGCCCGUCAUCAUAAAGACCGAACACCUCAGGGAGUGUUCGGCGUCUCGAGUUAGGCCUUAUAUGCAUCAGCUCCGAAUCAUGUCUUUGGUCAAAUGUUGGGUUUGCCCGGAUCCUGUGUUUUGCUGCCUUAUGUUCCGUAUCAUUGGCUAACGCGGCACCAGGAGAACUACUGCGAUUGUGCCCCAGUUCGGCCGGGUGAGCACCUCAGUAGAGAAAGCCGAAAACUGACUGUCAUGAUGUAGCGAGAGACUGGUCAACCACUCGAUCGACCUCCGGAAUGUUAGAAUUCCUCCGCUUUGACGAAGGACCGCUUCCCGGUCAGGCACACAUGCGCCCCAAAUCCGGAGAGCGCGGUGCCCCUAGGGGCUAUAUCGUACCCCACCUUCGAACUCCUAUGGCUAAGUGAAAGUGAUAAAGCAUUAUAGUCCGGUUGCCUCGUUUGCUACACUACCACCUCCUUCACAGGACCAAGACGUUGGAUUAAGUGUGAAAAUGCGCUAUUUCACAAACACCCCCGCACCAUGUGCGUGGGGGCUAAAGUCGAAGACUGCCAUCUUUCAAGUUAUACACAAGUAUACAUUAACGGCCGCACAGGAGAUAUUUCAAUACUUGAACGCACAAGUACAAAAAGCGCUUAUAUUAUAAACAUCGUUUUACAAACCAUAAAGAUCAUUUGAACAUGACAUUUUUUGAGCACUGCGACUCUAUUACACGAGCACCACGCAGAACUUCCCCAAAAUAGUGCUCGGCGGGUAACCGGCUCUCGUCCGAACCCCGGGUCGCAACGUCGGUGGCAUCCAUUUCCGUCCAGUAUGUCUUCACACGGGCGAGGGCCAUCCGUGCACCCUCUAUGCAGGCCGACCGCUUCAUCGCCUUUCUAUGCGGCACCGCCCCAAGGAAUUGCUGCAAUAAGCCGAAAUAACUCUUCGGCUUGGGCCUAUCCGGCCAUACAUGAGCCACGAUAUCCGUCAUGGCAAGUCCGGACAAUCUAUUCAGCUCAGCCCACUCAGCCAACCGAUCGGUCAGCGGAAGUGAACGCUCCGGACUAUGGAAUUGAGACCAAAAAAGCUCUUUCGUCUCGUGAUCCUUUUGACUUCGGAAGUGCACAACAACAUCUGCCGCACUCGCCGCUAAAUCCAUAUAAGGAUCCUCCAGACCCCACAGCUGGCCAAGCUGAGCAUACUUCGGAUCUGUAAACCUCCUGCGCAGCAGAAAGGGCUUGCCAGCCACAAUAUCUCCGGCCUGGCGCAGCUCCUCCUUUAUAGCCCUCAUUGCAGAACGGGCAUCCUUGGCUUCAGCGGUGGCCUUCCUCAGGUCUUCUUGCUCUGCUCGGCGUUCUUUUUCAAGAACCUCAUAGCGGUCGGUAACAUCUUUCAACUUCACGGCCAUUUCGGCCAUCUCCCCCCUGCUUCGGCAGUGAGCAGCCCUUUCGGCUUCCAGCUCUUCGGCCGCCCUCGAGGCAGCCGCAUCACUCCUUCUGGCCUGCUCCUUGGCUCGAGCAAGUUCUGCCUGAAGGCUCUCCACAGCAGCGGCACCAUCUGCAUUAAGCACACAUGUUGUAAGAAGUGGGCUUCAGCACCCUUACUAGGUGACCACGGAGAAACAACCUACCUUGUGACUCGUCAAGUCGCUUAUUGACCAGCGCGAUGUCCGCAUCCGCAACGUCGAGUUGCCGCUUUAGUUCGGCAACUCCAUCAGUCCGGCUGGCCACCGGACUAUCCGCCACCUGCAUAGGAAAGGCGAAAAUUAAUACCUGCGAUUUUGAUCCUCGGCACGCUGUCGCUUUCGACAACAUACCGAGUCUCAGGGGCUACUAUCUAUAUAGGGCGCACUUUAUGUGUAAAACUGUCAAAAGGUAUGUCAUUUUUACGUACCUCAAACCCCGCCAGCAAACUUCUGACGGCAUCAUGUAAUCCGCCUUCGGCGGACGAAAUUCUUCUAAUCACCAUACUCAUCAAUGUGCGGUGACCUUCUGAUAUAGACGCCCUCUCAAGCAGAUCCUUCAGCUCCCCCGGCCGUACACCAGUUGGUGCCGAACUCUCCGACCCCGCCGUACUCAGGGAUACCCUCCAUGAUGACACCUCAGGGUCGUCCACCCCACCUAGCGGUGCGGCAAAUGGAGGCGUUUCGCUCUCUAUCAUCUCCGGAUGAAGGUCCCCCGAGGACGAGCUCAUCUGAGAAGGACGGAGAUCCAAACUACAAGGUAAAAACUUCGGUUAUCCUCAGAAGCAAAAAUAGGGAUGUCUCUUAUUACAAAACUCCCCUUUUUCUACUUACGGCUUGCUGGAGGGCUGAUUCCUUAAGGGAGAUAGUGCGGCCGGGGCCUCCCCAGACACAGGACCCUCUGGUGAAGAUUUCUUCCCCCGCUUCGAGGCCUUGGCCUCUGGGUUUUCGGAAGCAGUCCUUUUCUCCCCUUGGAAGGAGGGAUUCUCGAUUCCCCCUUUCUCAAAGGCCUCCUUGGUAGAGGCGGUUGUUUCUCUAUUCUCCCCUUCGCCUUCCUCUGAAGGCGCAACCUCCAGCAUCCUGACCAGCACGGGAUCCGGCGCGGUCUCCGGGAGGGGGGCCGGACACCGUAUCAGUUUCGCUUGCGCUAUCCACUCCUAUUCAAGAGAUGAUGGGUUAAAAGGCAAAUUCAAGAAGGCGCAAACAAACGGUGUGUCCGGACGCAGGGCCACUUACCUGAGCAUCCGGGCGAUUGCAGCUUAGGCCGGAAUCCUCGGUCAAUUCCGGACACAUCUCUUGUGAUCCGAAGAACAAUUUAUACAUAUCCACGGGUGUUGCACCCAUGAAGUGUUGGAGAUAUCGAGGCCCCUCUGGAUUGAAUUCCCACAGGUGAAGGGGGCGACGCUUGCAGGGCAGAAGACGCCGAAUCAGCAUAACCUGCAUCACCAUGACCAGAUUGAUCUCCCUCUCUUGGAGGUCUCGAAUCCGGCCCUGCAAUAGGGGUACGUCCUUUGACGGCCCCCAGUUGAGCCCUUGGUUGACCCACGACAUCAGCCGCUGUGGAGGGCCCGAGCGAAAGAUGGGCGGCGGCUUCUGCCUGGUGCCUCUGGGAGCGGUUAUAUAGAACCACUCCCGUUGCCACAAGCCGAGCUCCUCCUGGAAAGAGCCCUCGGGCCAUGGAGCAUCGGCCCUCCUGCUUAUAAUCGCCCCGCCGCACUCUGCUUGACGCCCCUCGAUCAUCUUCGGCUCCACGUUGAAGGUCUUGAGCCACAAACCGAAGUGGGGGGUAGUGCGGAGGAAGGCCUCGCAGACGACAAUGAAUGAUGAGAUGUGGAGGAUGGACUCCGGAGCCAAGUCGUGGAAUUCCAACCCAUAGUAAAACAUAAGCCCUCUCACAAAAGGAUCCAUCGGGAAGCCUAAACCCCGACGGAGGUGGGACACAAAUACGACGCUUUCGCCGGGCUCGGGAGUGGGAAUGACUUGCCCUUCGGCGGGCAACCUAUGUGAAAUCUCGUAAGUCAGGUACUUGGCUUCUCUCAGCUUUUGCACGUCCUCUUCCGUAACGGAGAGGGCAUCCACCGGCCCUGUUGGUCGACGCCGGACAUCGUGGAAGGUCUGGGGCGCUCGAAUCUGAGGCUCUGGGUGUUGGAACUCAAGGCGAGGGGCAGAUUCGAUGGAGGGUUGAAGAAAAGGAACGAGCCUUGGUCUCAUUAUAAAGAGGGAGAAUACCAAGAGCCAUCACCAUGACCGUUUGGGACUCGCCUUCGAUAGAGGGGGCGUGGCAACGGGCGCGGUUGGGUUACCCACGUCCGUAUUGAUGGGAAUCCCGGGGUAAGGGGAACACGAUCUCUGCUUCGACAAGACGUGCCAAGGAAACCGCUUCGCUAAACGCGCUGAGGUGGUAUAAUAAAAACGAUUCAAGUAAAGGCUUGGUGGUGGUGUGACGUCAUGCCACAAAAUACGUCAGCAGAUUGAGCUUGUGUACAUAUUAUUCUCUCUACGGUGGAAUGUGGAAUUUAUUUUGCAGAGCCGGACACUAUCCUGGUGUUCACAAAUCUUCUAUGAAUUAUUCGGAGGAAGAACCCGCCUUGCAAUGCCGAACAAUAUGCGCACCGGAUCUCGGGUAGGGGGUCCCGAACUGUGCGUCUAGGCGGAUGGUAACAGGAGACGAGGGACACGAUGUUUUUACCCAGGUUCGGGCCCUCUCGAUGGAGGUAAAACCCUACGUCCUGCUUGAUUAAUAUUGAUGAUAUGGGUAGUACAAGAGUAGAUCUACCACGAGAUCAAGGAGGCUAAACCCUAGAAGCUAGCCUAUGGUAUGAUUGUUGUAAUGUAUGUUGUCCUACGGACUAAAGCCCUCCGGUUUAUAUAGACACCGGAGAGGGCUAGGGUUACACAGAGUCGGUUACAAUGGUAGGAGAUCUACAUAUCCAUAUUGCCAAGCUUGCCUUCCACGCCAAGGAAAGUACCAUCCGGACACGAGCCGGAGUCUUCAAUCUUGUAUAUUCGUAGUCUUGGAGUCCGGCGGACAAUGAUAGUCCGGCUGUCCAGACACCCCCUAGUCCAGGACUCCCUCAGUAGCCCCUGAACCAGUCUUCAAUGACGAUAAGUCCGGCGUGCAUAAUGUUCGGCAUUGCAAGGCGGGUUCCUCCCUUGAAUAAUCCAGAGAAGAUCAUGAACACCAGGAUAGUGUCCGGCUCUGCAAAAUAAAUUCCACAUUCCACAGUAGAGAGAAUAAAAUGCACACUUAGUUCAAUCUGCUGACGUAUUAUGCGGCGUGACAUCACACCGCCACCAGGCCUUUGUUUGAAUUACUAUACCACCUCAGCAUGUUUAGCGAAGCGGUUUCCUUGGCACGUCUUGUCGAAGCAGAGAUCGUGUUCCCCUUAUUCCGGGAUUCUCAUCAAUACGUGCGUGGGUAACCCAACCGCUCCCGUCACCACGCCUCCUCUAUCGAAGGGGAAUCCCAAACGGUCACGGAGACGACCCUUGGUAUUUCUUCCCCUUUAUAAGAGGACCAAGGCUCGCCAUUGUUCUUCAAUCUCGCAUCGAAUCUCUUCCCCGCUCCCAGUUCCAACACCCAGAGCCUCAGAUUCGAGUGCUUUGGAUCCUCAAUCAUGUCCGGCUCCGACCUCCAGGGCCGGUGGAUGCCCUCCUCCGUCACGGAGGAGGACAUAUUGAAGUUGCGUGAGGCCAAGUACCUGGCAUACGAGGUUUCGCACAGGUUGCCUGCCCAAGGGCAGGCUGUGUCAGCCCCCGAGCCCGGUGAAUACGUCGUUUUCGUAUCCCACCUCCGUCGGGGUUUAGGCUUCUCGACGGAUCCCUUCGUGAGGGGGCUCCUGUUCCACUAUGGGCUGGACUUUCACGACUUGGCUACGGAGUCCAUCCUCCAUAUCUCCGCAUUCAUUAUCGUCUGCGAAGCCUUCCUCCGCGUCAUUCCCCACUUCGGCCUAUGGCUGAAGACCUUCAAGGUGGAGCCGAAGAUGAUCGGGGGGCGUCAAGCGGAGUGCGGCGGGGCGACCAUAAGCAAAAAGGUCGAUGCCCCGUGGCUCGAGGGUUCCUUCCAAGAGGAACCUGGACCGUGGCAGCAGGAGUGGUUCUAUAUCACCGCUCCAAGGGGCAGCAGGCAAAAGCCGCCGCCCUUAUUCCGCCCGGGACCUCCACGCCAACUGAUGUCGUGGGUCAACCAAGGGCUCAAUUGGGGGCCGUCCGAAGAUGUGCCUUCACUGCAGGGCCGGAUUCGAGAUCUCCAAGCGAGGGAGAUCGACCUGAUCAAGGUGAUGCAGGUUAUGCUAAUCAGGCAUCUUCUGCCCUGCAAACGCCGUCCUCUCCGUCUAUGGGAGUUCAACCCAGAGGGACCUCGGAUUCUCCACAAUUCAUGGGUGCGACACCCGUGGAGAUGUACAAGUUGUUCUUCGGACCGCAGGUGGCGUGUCCGGAUUUAGCCGAGGAUGCAGGCCUUAGCCGCGAUCGCCCGGAUACUCAGGUAAGUAGCUCAGAGUCCGGACAUUCUAUUUAUGUGCCUUUCUAGAGUUCACCUCUUGACCCUUUGUUCUUUACAGGAAUGGGUGGCGCGAUCAAGGAUGAUAAGGUGUCCGGCCCCCCUCCCAGAGACCGCACUGGAGCCCGUGCUGGUCAAAAUGUUGGAGGUUGCACCCACAGAAGGGGGCGACGGGGAAAAUAGAAGAGCUAAUAUUUCGCCCAAAGGGGCGACUGAAGAGGGGGGAACCAAGAACCCCUCCCUUCAGGGGGAGAAGAGGACCGCCUCCGAAGAUCCGGAGGCCAAAGCCCCUAAGCGUGGAAAGAAUCCAGACGCACAAUCAUCAUCAAAGGAUCGGCCCUCCAGCGAGCCGUGAGUAUGAAAGAGGGAGUUAAUUAGUAAGGAAAUACCUUCAUUUGUGCUUCUGUAGAUAACCGAAAUAUUUAUAUUGCAGUUCGGAUCUGCAGCCGUCUCAGAUGAGUUCAUCUUCGGGGGACCUUCUUCCGGAGAUGAUGGAGAGCGAUACGCCUCCGUCCGCAGCGCCGCCAGAUGAGGCAGGCGAACCCGAAGUGUCAUCACAGAGGGUAUCCCCGAGUCCGGAGGGGCCAGAGAGUUUGGCACCUACUAGUGUCCGGCCGGGAGAACUGAAGAAUCUGCUUGAGAGGGCGUCCAUUUCAGAAGAUCACUGUGCGUUAAUGCGUAUGGUGAUUGGAAGGAUUUCGUCCGCUAAGAGCGAAUUGCGUAAUGCCGCCAUGAGUUUACUGGCGGGAUUUGAGGUAUGCGAGAAUGACGCACCCCUUUGUCUUUUAACAGUUUUGCAUAUAAAAAAUGCGCCCUGUAUAGAUAGUAGCCCCUGAGACUCGGUAGGUUGUCGGAAACGACAGCAUACCGAGGAUCGGAAUCUAAAGGAAUGAAUUCCGUCGGUCCUAUGAAGGUGGCGGAUAGUCCGAGGGCUAGCCGGACUAGUGAGUUUGCCGAGUUAAAUCGGCAAUUUUACUUGGCAGAUGCGAACAUCGCACUUGUCAACAGGCGACUUGACGAGUCACAAGGUAAAAGAGUUCUCUGCAGUCGCUUUAUUAAGGGGGUCGAAGCCCUCCUUUGAUAAAUUAUAUGUUGUUUGUACAGACGGUGCUGCUGCUGUGGAGGGCCUUCGGGCCGAACUUGCUCGAGCUAAGGAGCAAGCCCGAAGGAGUGAAGCGGCUGCCUCGAGGGCGGCCGAGGAGUUGAAAGCCGAAAAGGCUGCGCACUGCCUAAGCAGGGCCGAGGUGGCCGAAUUGGCCAUGAAAGUAUAGGAUGCUGCCGACCGCAAUGAGGCUCUUAAAAAGGAGCUCUUAUCGGAGCGGGAAGACCUGAAGAAGGCCACCGCCGAAGCCAAGGAUGCCCGCUCUGCAAUGCGGGCUAUGAAGGAGGAACUGCGCCAGGCCGGAGAGAUUGUGGCUGGCAAGCCUUUUCUGCUGCGUCGCCGGUUUAUGGAUGGAAAGUAUGCUCAAUUUGAGCGGCUGUGGAGUCCGGAGGAUCCGUAUAUGGACUUAGCUACAAGUGCGGCCGAUGCCAUUAAGCACUUCCGGAGCCAGAAGGAUCACGAGACGGAAGAGCUAUAUUGGUCUCAAUUCCACAGUCCGGAUCGCCCACUUCCAUUGACAGACCGGUUGGCCAAAUGGGCCGAGCUAAAUAGAUUGUACGGACUUGCCAUGACUGACAUCAUGGCCCAUGUCCGGCCAGAGAGGUCCAAGGCGACGAGCUACUUUGGCUUAGUAUAGCAAUUCCUUGGAGCGGUGCCGCAUAUAAAGGAGAUGAAGCGGUCGGCCUGCAUAGAGGGCGCGCGGAUGGCUCUUGCCCGUGUGAAGGCGCAUUGUCCAGAGAUGGACGCCACCGCUGUUGCUGCCCAGGGUUCGGAUGAAGACCGGCUCCCUGCCGAGCACUAUUUCGGGGAAGUUAUGCGUGGCGCUCGUGUAAUAGAGUCGCAGUGCUCGAAGAAUGUAACGUUCAGAUGAACGCAUUAGCUUGUAAAUCGAUGAUUAUGUUAUAACUGCUUUUUAUACUUGUGCGUCCAAGUAGUAAAACUUCUCCUUUUCGGCCGUUUACGUAUACUUGUGUAUAACCUGAAAGAUGGCAGUCUUCGGCUUCAGCCCCCACGCACAAGGUGCUGGGGUGUUCGCAAAAAUAGCGCGUUUUCACACUUAAUCCGACGUCUCGGUCCUGUUAUAAGGAGGUGGUAGCGUAGUGAACGAGGCAAUCCGGACUAUACUGCUUUAUCACUUUCACUUAGCCAGUGGAGCUCGAGGGUGGGGCUACGAUAUAGCCCCUGGUGGCAUCGCCCUUCUCCGAAGUCGGAGCGCGUGUGCCUGACCGGGAAACGGCCCUUCGUCAUAGCGGGGAAUUGUAAACAUUCCGAUAGUCGAUCGAGUGGCUGACCAGUCUCUCGCUGUAUCAUGAUAGUCAGUUUUCGGCUUUCUCUACUGAGGUGCUCGCCCAGCCGAACUGGGGCACAAUCGCAGUAGUUCUCCUGGUGCCGCGUUAGCCGAUGAUACGGAACGUAAGGCAGCAAAACACAGGAGCCAGGCAAACCCAACAUUUGACCAAAGACAUGAUUCGGAGCUGAUGCAUAUAAUGCCUAACUCGAGACGCCGAACACUCCCUAAGGUGUUCGGUCUUUAUAAUAAUGGGCAGAACGAUGCCCUAAGCCCCUAGUGUCCAGGUACAGGCAUGGUCUUCUGACGCGGCCGAUGCCAAAACGUCAGGCUCCGCUUUGGCUAUAGGAAGAAACCAAGGGAGAAUAACAACAAGAGACAGUAAAAAAGGUCUAUGCAGGGUCUUAAUCUGAAAAGAAUCCUCACAACGGGUCCCUACUGCACGUCUGCGCCUGUGUCUCCGUUGCGCCAUUAUCCUGGACGGGUAUGCACGUUGUUCAUCUGUAAAAAGAGAGGAACGUUUAGUUUUAAAAACAAUUCGUGCGAAAAAUAUUAGAAAUAUAAAUAAUUAAAGCGGGGUUUGUAUGAACCCGCGGUUAUUUGUGCGCGCAGCCCCCUGUGAAGGGGUAUGCGGCUAGGGAGCCCCUAGCCCACUGACACCGGAUUCGUCUAUCCAAGUCUGGGGUCUUUAAGUGACCCUCGCACUAAAAUUACGCCACGCGGUCCGGGCAUCUUGAGUGUAAGAGACGCGUAAUGCGGUAUGGCGUUGAAGCGGACAAAAGCCUUUCGUCCCAAGAGUGCUUGAUAUUCACUUUCAAAUGGGACGAUGUGAAAAAUUAAUUUUUUGCGUCGAGAAUUGUUCGGCGAUCCGAACACGACUUCUAGUAAUAUGGAGCCUGUGCACUUGGCAUAAUGGCCUGGCGUCACUCCUUUGAAGGAAGUGCGGCUGUGUCGAAUUUUUGUAGGGUCUAUCCCCAUCCUACGGAUUGUGUUUGAAUAUAGCAGGUUUAAGUCACUGCCUCCGUCCAUUAGGACGUUAGUAAAUUGCAAUCCGUCUAUUAUGGGAUUCAAUAUCAGGGGAGUCCGUCCCGCAUUUCGAACGCUUCUGGAAUAGUCCAGGUGGUCGAAAGUGAUUGGUUUUGACAUCCAAUCUCUACGGUCUACUGGGUUGGACCGCGCGAAGCUCUUUUUAGAAAGUGCCGCACUAUUUUUCCGUAUUAUCACAUGAAGUGAGUUUACUGCUUUGACCCCUUGUGGGAAAGUCUUUUGUUUUCCGGUGCUCUGCUGGUGGGGUUUAUCUUCUUCGCUUGACGCGUCGAGCCCCUUGUGUUCGGCAUUUAGUCGGCCGGACUGUUUAAAAACCCAACAAUCCCUGUGGGUGUGAUUUGCAGGCCUUCCGGGGGUACUGUGGAUUUGGCAUAUCCGACCCAAAAUUUUGUGUAAGUUGGACAAUUCGUCAUUGUCAUCCUUAAGAGGCUGUGUUUUAUUAUUGGGCCGCGAGCUUUUGAAUCCGGCGUUGACUGCCGCGCUCUUUGGGAUUUUCUCUUUAUUCCGGCGCUGCUGUUUUCUGCGUCGUGAUUUUCCAUUUCCAUCUCUUAUCUCUGAUGUACUUGGGUCGCUGGUGCUGCAUCGUGCUAACCAGCUAUCCUCGCGCGCAUAGAAGCGGGUCAUGAGGCUUGUUAGUGCGGACAUUGUCCUCGGUUUCUCUUGACCGAGGUGCCUGGCGAGCCAUUCGUCUCGGACAUUGUGCUUGAAAGCUGCUAAGGCUUCGGCAUCCGGACAAUCUACUAUUUGGUUCUUUUUUGUAAGGAACCAGUUCCAGAAUUUCCGCGCUGACUCUCCGGGCUGUUGAGUUAUAUGACUUAGAUCAUCUGCAUCCGGAGGACGGACAUAAGUCCCUUGAAAAUUUGCUCUAAACGCGUCCUCGAGCUCUUCCCAACUUCCAACAGUAUUUUCUGGGAGGCUUUUAAGCCAAUGACGGGCUGGCCCUUUGAGCUUGAGGGGUAGGUAUUUUAUGGCGUGGAGAUCAUCUCCUCUGGCCAUAUUUAUGUGUAGUAUAUAAUCUUCUAUCCAGACUCCAGGGUCUGUUGUUCCAUCGUAGGCCUCUAUGUUUAUGGGUUUAAAUCCUGCUGGGAAUUCAUGGUCCAGCACCUCGUCAGUGAAACAUAGUGGGUGUGCGGCGCCCCUGUAUUGAGCGAUAUCGCGACGCAGCUCGAGAGAGCGCUGUCUUCUGUGUUCGGCCCGGCCGGUGUUAUUGUAUCCGGCACGACGGUAUUCGUCGUGGGUCGUAGGGCGCCCACGUGAUCCAUAGAUGGAUCUGGAUUGCCUUGCUUUGUCCUCCAAUAUGUCUCGCAAGUCCGGCGCGUUCCCUCUUGGCUUCGUACUUUUGGAGCGAUGCCGGGGUAUGGUCUUGGCUGGGGGCCUGGAUGCCUCUCUGUCACGACCACGGGGUGGUCGGUCAGCCAUAUCGUGCGCUGGUGAUGGAGGUACGUAUGCUUCCUCCUCUAAUCGGGGGAGCAGCUUGCGUUUUGGGUAACUUUUGGAGGGACGUUCGAGUUUAUACUCUUCGGCCGCGAGGACCUCGGUCCAUCGAUCGGCCAGCAGGUCCUGAUCAGCUUGAAGCUGCUGCUGCUUUUUCUUUAGGCUGUUUGCUGUGGCGAUAAGCCUGCGCUUGAAGCGCUCUUGUUCGACGGGAUCCUCGGGUAUGACGAAUUCGUCAUCGUUGAGGCUCGCUUCGUCUUCGGAGGGAGGCAUGUAGUUAUGAUCCUCAACCUCUUCGUCUGCCGCCCCCUCAUGAGGGCUUGCUUCUGCAUCCUCCUGCGCUGAGUCUUGCUAGAGGGGAUUGUCUUCGGCACUCUCUGGAGUAUUAUUAUCUCCUGUGCCGGAAUCUCUGUUCUUGCUGUGGCGAGAUUUAGAGCGGCGCCGCUGACGCCGGCACUUGGGCUGUUUCUUUAAGGGAUCUGCCUCCGCUGUUUCUUCGCCGUCCCCAUCUUUAGGGGUAUCCACCAUGUAUACGUCGUAUGACGAGGUGGCCUUCCAGUGCCCUGUGGGCGCUGGUUCCUGUUCGUCUCCGGCAUCGUCGUCCAUAGCAUCGAUGUCUUCGGAGUCGUAGUCUAGCAUGUCGGUUAGAUUGUCGACAGUGGCUACAAAGUGGGUGGUGGGUGGGCUCUGAAUUUCUUCGUCGUCCGUAUCCCAACCAUCCUGGCCAUAAUCCGGCCAGGACUCUCCUGAUAACGAGAGAUGCUUUAGUGAAUUCAAGAUAUCGCCGAGAGGCGAGAAUUGGAAGAUGUCCGCGGCGGUGAAUUCCAUAACCGGCGCCCAAUCCGGAUCGGUUGGCAGGGGCGCGGGAGGUUCGGAGUCCGGCAAGGAGUCCGGCGCCUCGGAGUCACGAGUUUCGCGGGGGACAAGAUUAGUGUUCGGCGCGUGGAUGUUGGAGCCCCCAGGGCGGCGUCUAUCCACCGACCCUCGAUCUGGGCGAUCGGCUCCGGGCUAAUGGCCGAAGCGGAUCCGUGUGCGGCCACCAAGGCACUGUUCGGCGGCAGAGCUAGAUCAUGCCCAUCGUCACAGUGCGGCGCGCUCGGCUGUGGCUCGAGUCCGUUGAGGAUCAAGUCUCCGCGGGCAUCGGCCGUGAAGUUUAAGCUUCCAAAUCUGACCUGACGGCCAGGGGCGUAGCUUUCGAUCUGCUCCAGAUGGCCAAGUGAAUUGGCCCGCAGUGCGAAGCCGCCGAAUAGGAAGAUCUGUCCGGGGAGAAAAGUCUCACCCUGGACAGCGUCGUUGGUUGAAGAUGCCAUCAAGCCUAUCGGUGACGACACAGAGGAACUCUCAAUGAAAGCACCAAUGUCGGUGUCAAAACCGGCGGAUCUCGGGUAGGGGGUCCCGAACUAUGCGUCUAGGCGGAUGGUAACAGGAGACGAGGGACACGAUGUUUUUACCCAGGUUCGGGCCCUCUCGAUGGAGGUAAAACCCUACGUCCUGCUUGAUUAAUAUUGAUGAUAUGGGUAGUACAAGAGUAGAUCUACCACGAGAUCAAGGAGGCUAAACCCUAGAAGCUAGCCUAUGGUAUGAUUGUUGUAAUGUAUGUUGUCCUAUGGACUAAAGCCCUCCGGUUUAUAUAGACACCGGAGAGGGCUAGGGUUACACAGAGUCGGUUACAAUGGUAGGAGAUCUACAUAUCCGUAUUGCCAAGCUUGCCUUCCACGCCAAGGAAAGUACCAUCCGAACACGAGCCGGAGUCUUCAAUCUUGUAUCUUCGUAGUCUUGGAGUCCGGCGGACAAUGACAGUCCGGCUGUCCGGACACCCCCUAGUCCAGGACUCCCUCACUCAUCGUCAUUGAAGCCUGGUUCAGGAGCUACUGAGGGAGUCCUGGACUAGGGGGUGUCCGGAUAACCGGACUAUCAUCAUCGGCCGGACUCCAAGACUAUGAAGAUACAAGAUUGAACACUUCGUCCCAUGUCCGGAUGGGACUUUCCUUGACGUGGAAGGCAAGCUUGGCGAUACGGAUAUGUAGAUCUCCUACCAUUGUAACCGACUCUGUGUAACCCUAGCCCUCUCCGAUGUCUAUAUAAACCGGAGGGUUUUAGUCCGUAGGACGAACAACCAUUACAACAAUCAUACCAUAGGUUAGCUUCUAGGGUUUAGCCUCCUUGAUCUCGUGGUAGAUCCACUCUUGUACUACCCAUAUCAUCAAUAUCAAUCAAGCAGGAGUAGGGUUUUACCUCCAUCGAGUGGGCCCGAACCUGGGUAAAAACAUCGUGUCCCUUGUCUCCUGUUACCAUCCGCCUAGACGCACAGUUCGGGACCCCCUACCCGAGAUCCGCCGGUUUUGAAACCGACAGUGACUAAAGCCGGGUUGGCUCAUUGAGUACCCGCAAGUGAUUCCGAUGUGGGGGCUGGAAGGACAGGUGGCUCCAUCCUGGUAGAGGUGGGCCUGGGUUCCCGAUGGCCCCCGACUAUUACUUUGAGGCGGAGCGACAGGUGUAACAUCCCAAAUUUCCAAUUUGGCAUGUUAUACAUAGAUCAUCCAUGCAUAUCAUAUUUUAUUGCUUUUCAAUUUCAAUCCUCGAGAUCCUAAGCAACUCAAGGACCCUCGGAGAGAGUUGGGGAUUUUCUAAUUUUCAUAUUUGAGAUUUCUAUCAAAUUUUGAGGACGAGGAUUUGAUUUUAAUUAUUUUCUCUCCGGAAAAUAUUUUAUUUUAAAAUAAUAAAUGAGGGGAGAUAAUAUGACUUCUCCAAAAUAAUUGAAAUAUCAGAGGAAAAAUGUUAAAAAUCAUUUUGGGAUUUUAUUUGAAUUUAUUCUGGGAUUUUAUUGCUCCUAGAAAAAAAGUUGCAUAUUUUAAAAUUGCAUUUUAGGGGCCAAGAAAAGUUCAUCUUCUUCUAAAUAUUUUAUUUAGACGGAGAAAACUUGUUUUGGAAUUUUUAGAUUUUUAUUUAUUUUUUCUAGGAAUUUUUUCUUCGGCGGAAUGUUAAAAAAAAAACUUCGCGCCCGACUGGGCCGAAGGCCCAGCCGAGCAGGCCGGCCCAGCGCCGCGCCACCACCUUCCCCGCGCCGCCGCCGUUCUUGGCACGGACGCCGAGGGCAGGUCCGAGCCGGACUCCACCCCCGGGCGCCCCCUCGCCCAAGCCAGCCCCGCCCCGCCCCUAUAAAGCCCGCCGCCCCGCCGCCGUAANNNNNNNNNNNNNNNNNNNNNNNNNNNNNNNNNNNNNNNNNNNNNNNNNNNNNNNNNNNNNNNNNNNNNNNNNNNNNNNNNNNNNNNNNNNNNNNNNNNNNNNNNNNNNNNNNNNNNNNNNNNNNNNNNNNNNNNNNNNNNNNNNNNNNNNNNNNNNNNNNNNNNNNNNNNNNNNNNNNNNNNNNNNNNNNNNNNNNNNNNNNNNNNNNNNNNNNNNNNNNNNNNNNNNNNNNNNNNNNNNNNNNNNNNNNNNNNNNNNNNNNNNNNNNNNNNNNNNNNNNNNNNNNNNNNNNNNNNNNNNNNNNNNNNNNNNNNNNNNNNNNNNNNNNNNNNNNNNNNNNNNNNNNNNNNNNNNNNNNNNNNNNNNNNNNNNNNNNNNNNNCCAGACGAGUCGCCGGAGGUACCCGAUCCCCGCCGCCAGAUUUCUUAAAUAAACCCUCGGUUUUUUUGGAAACCCUAGAUCAUUUUUUUAGAUUGUUAAUUUUUUAUUUUUUCGGUUUAUUUAUUUAACGAACGUCCGUUCGUCCGUUCGUUCUAACGAACGCGUUCUCUGUUUAGUUUCUGCUAACGAACGUUCGCCCGUUUAGCAGUUCGUUGUUUUUCUUUUAUUCGGAUUUAUUCCGCGAUUAUUCUGAUCGCGAUUUCUGGUCUGAUUUUCAAACCUGUUUAUCUUUUCGCUCGUUUAUCGGAAUCAGGCGAUUCAAGCGCCUGGAGUUUCAUCUCGAAACCCUCUUUCCGAAUAAUCAACUCCAACAAGAUUUUUCUUCUGUAAAAUUUGACCUAGAUCCAGAAUAGCAAAACGAAGUUGUUUCUUUCACCGUUUGAGUUUCGUUGCUUCGUUUGAUUUUAUUCUUCUUGUAAACCGGAGUUCUUAAGUUGAACUCUCCGGUAAACCUCUUUUAUCUGGAGUUCUACUUGUGCAUCUUGAUUGUUGCUUAUGUAUGUUAUUGUUUGCUUGCGCUAGAAUUCCCGGAGUGCGAAGCGUGUUACUACGAGUCUCUAGGAUACCCGGAUCGUCAGCAAGGCAAGUAACACAUUGAUCAUACUCUUUUCAUAUCCAGUUUUUAUGCAUUAGUUCAAUCCUCAAACAUUGCAUGAUUAGGAUGCUUUAACAUGUGGGUAUUGGGAAGUAGUUGAUGAGGUAGAACCUAUUGCCCUGUUUAUUAUCAAACCCUUGGGAGUUACUUCUACGUUAUGCUUAUAUUGCCAUGCUAUGCUCGUAGACGUGGAUUGGGUUGAGUGAUAUCCAUGACAGAUGUGAGAUUGAUAAUUAAUGGUUUAUUUAAGGUGGCAACUUUAAUACACAUCUGGGUGGAUUGAGGCACCUGGGGUUACCAGUGAUUGCCUGUUUUAUUUUUGGAAAUCCCGGGGUUACCGUGUGAUUCUCCUAUGGACCGCCACCCAGGCUCAAAGGGAACUGAGUCUAUUCAUGCUAGAAACUUCCGUGUGCAGCCGCAAGCUAUUAUGGGCUCUAGCAUAGUUUGAGUAAGUUGCGUGAAGCUCUUGAAGAGGUGGAUCAGCAGGUAGUGGGUUUGUAGGUUUGGUAUGGUCUGCCCGGAGUAGAGAGUUAAUGCUUCUGAAAGACUGUGUCUCGGUCAUCCAUCUCUCAAACACCAUGCAGUGCGAGAAUCAACGGAGGCGAUCGAGUCUUGCGGGGAAAAGUGCGCAAACCUUUGCAGAGUGUACAAUCUAAUCAUGGUUAGCCGUGUCCCCGGUUAUGGACAAUUCUAAGUAUCUAGUGCUUGAGUAUUCGCAUGUAUCUCAACACUCUUAAUAACUAAUUUUGCUUGGGUUGUUAAUUACUUCUAAUUGGGAUCAUUGAGUUGGGGUUUACCUUCUCAGAUGAUGUUUCAACUACCAUGAUAGUAAAUUAAAUUUGAUUCCUUUGUAGUAGGGAAAAAUUGGCUUUUGGCAAAACUGUAACCAUAGAGCUUUCCACCAGCCAAAUAUGCAUGUAGUGGUAGCAUUAUUCUGUUGUUGCUCUUUUGUGUCACAUUGCCAGUAUAUUCCAUGUGUUGACCCAUUCUCGGGCUGCAACGUAUUAUGUUGCAGACUUUUCAAACGAGGAGUAAGGUUCGUAGGUCAUUGCCGUGCAGCUCAGCUAUGCCGUUGGAGUUGAUGGACUCACUUUAUCUUCCAAGCCUUCCGCUGUUAUCGCAUUAGAUGGCCUUAAGCCAUAUUAUUGUAAUAAGUUCUCUUUUGAGACAUUCGAUGUUAUAACUGUGUGAUUGCUACUCUGUUUUAAAUCCUUCGAAGUACUGUGUGGUGUCAGCAUUACUGAUCCAGGGAUGACACCUGAGCACAGAGACUUGACCGUCUGAGGUCGGGUCGCUACAAGAUGGUAUCAGAGCACACGCUGAGUGUAGGACACGACCACUAAGAUAAACCAUAGGUCACACUUCUCUUCUCAUUUCUGACUCCUCUUCUUUUCCACUCUUUAGGAUGAAGGAGAUGAAGACCAAGUUUGCACAACCGGAUGAAGACACACCUUUUGGACGCCACUUGAAGGAAGUCACUAGGUACUUGAAUAUUGGAAUACCAAGCUUCACUGGGACGAACAACGCCACUCUACCGGAAGAAGAGCGCUGGAUGAUUCAAGUAUCAGUUCCAGGAAGGAUGUUCUCACCGAAUUCUAAACCCAUAGAGUUUUCUUUCGAAGCACCCACUUGGAGCCUUGGCAAGAGUAUGGCAGCUCAUAUUACCAUGGGACGCAUUGGAGAAAUCUACAACAAGGAACUAGAGGAUACCACCUAUCAAAUAUGUGGGUGCCGAGAUGAACAAUGGGAGAUGAUCAGCACCAGGAAGGAUAGAUCUGUCGCAGCCUUUAUCCAGGAGCAAAACCAGCACAUUCGACGUUAGGAGAAUCAGAUGUGCGCAGACAUGAUCGAGUUGAAGAAGGAGAAGACCAGGAUCAUCGAGCUGGAGGAAGAACUGAAGUUCACACGUGAUGGAUAUGAGGAGGAAAUCAAGACGCUAUUGGAGAAGAAUGACGAUCUAAUCGAGAAGAUCGGAAUUUUCAUGGGAGGACUAGUUCCAAGAGAAGACCCCAUUCGUUCGGACAACUACAUCAUCAUCGACGACACCGACACGGAUUCAAGUGAUGAUGAUGACGAAGAUGAAGCUGGAGCAGACAUCAUGGAGUCUUCCACUGAUCAAAAUUUCUAGAUGACCACCAUAUGAUAAUAGUAUUCCCCCAUGUAACUAGUAGUAGUGAGCACUUUUGCGAUAGUCCUAGACCGUCUUGUAUGCCCUUGCUUGAUUGAUUGAAUGAAUGCUUGUGUUUGCCUCAUAUACAUAUGGGUAGUGUUUCUCCCCUAGAUCUUUUUCUAUUCUAAAUCUCUUCCAUCUAAACCCAUCAGAUGCCUCCGAGGAGAGACCCCGAGUUUGUUUUCCCACCGGAGAUCACCCAGUUGAUCCAGCAGCAGAAUGCCCUGAUGCAGUUGUUAGUUCAGAAUCAGGGCAAUGCCAAUAACAACAAUGCCAACAACAACAACCCGCCGCCAGUGGAUAACCUCGCCUGUUUUCUACGGUUACAGCCGCCGGUGUUCUCCAGUAGCAUCGAGCCAAUAGUUGCAGAUGAUUGGCUACGUCGUAUUGGAAGGGAGUUAACCACCGCUGGAUGCACAGAUGCUGAGAAGGUGCGUUUUGCCGCACACCAACUAGAUGGACCUGCAGCAGCAUGGUGGGAGAAUUUCACAGCCACCUAUCCUAUCGACACUGUCACAUGGGCUCAGUUUCAGCAGGCUUUUCGCACUGCCCAUGUCUCGACUGGAGCUAUGCAGAUGAAGAAGCGUGAGUUUCACAACUUACGCCAGGGGAAUCAUAUUGUUGGCCAGUACGUGGAUGAGUUUAGCAAGUUAUCACGUUAUGCCCCUGAUGAUGUGGCCACAGAUGCCGCGAAGCAGGAGAAGUUUAUGGAAGGGCUGAAUGAUGAGAUGAGUAUGCAGUUGAUGGUAGCAACUUUCAACAACUACCAGGAGUUGGUAGAUAAGGCCCUGAUGAUUGAAGGGAAGCAGUAGCAGAUUGAUAAUCGUAAGAGGAAGUAUGGACAAGGAAAAUACAAUUCAGGAGCUCACCGGAAGCCUCGUUUGACCCCGAACUCUGGAGGACUUGUUCAUAACCAUGGAGGACAUAACCAUGUUGGAGGAGGAUCGCAUAACCAUAAUGGUGCGAAGAACGGGAAUGGGAAUGGAGCCAACAAUAAUCAGAACCGCUCUAACCCAUCCACACCCGCAAAGAGGGACUUAAGCCAAGUCGUUUGCUACAAGUGUGGGAAGACAGGGCACUAUGCCAAUGACUGCUCUGACGGAAAGAAUGGGAAUGGAAAUGGGAGCGCAGGGAAGAAGCCCAAUCCAUUCAACAAGGGACAAGUGAACCACGUUAAUGUGGAGGAGGUUGAAGAGCAGUCGGACGCGGUAAUAGGUAAGUUUUUGGUUCAGUCAUUUACCGCUGUUGUUCUUUUCGAUACUGGUGCAUCGCAUUCAUACAUAUCAAGGGGAUUUGUGGAAAAGUUUAAGUUGCCAACCCAAACCCUUAGGACACCCCUCUUAGUGAGCUCGCCAGGAUCAGAGUACAUGGCUAGCAGAUGGUGCACCCAGAUACCCCUAAUCAUUGGAACACAUGUAUUUCCGUCUGACCUAAUUAUCUUGGAGUCGCAAGGAUUGGAUGUGAUAUUAGGUAUGGACUGGAUGUCAAAGUAUGAAGGAAGUACCUGUAGUAAAGGAUUUUCCGGAUGUUUUCCCCGAAGAGUUACCUGGUAUGCCACCGGACAGAGACAUUGAGUUUUUGAUUGAGCUAUUGCCAGGAACAGGACCGAUAUCUAAGAGACCCUAUCGGAUGCCAGCAAAUGACCUGGAGGAAAUUAAGAAGAAGAUUAAGGAGUUGCUGGAGAAAGGUUAUAUUCGUAGAAGCUCGUCACCUUGGGGAGCCCCAGUACUUUUGGUGGAGAAGAAGGAUAAAUCCCUAAGGAUGGUUGUUGAUUACCGAGCUCUGAAUGAAGUAACGAUAAAGAACAAGUAUCCCUUACCGAUGAUCAAUGAUCUGCUUGAUCAGUUACAAGGAGCUAAGGUGUUUUCGAAGAUUGAUCUACGAUCAGGAUACCAUCAGUUGAAGAUCCGAGAGAAGGAUAUACCCAAGACAGCGUUUACCACUCGGUAUGGAUUAUAUGAGUAUACGGUCAUGUCAUUUGGACUGACUAACGCCCCUGCCUAUUUCAUGAGUAUGAUGAACAAGGUAUUCAUGGAAUAUUUGGACAAGUUUGUUGUGGUAUUCAUCGAUGACAUUAUGAUAUACUCGAAGAACGAAGAAGAGCACGCGGAACACUUGCGUUUGGUUCUCGAGAAACUCAGGGAACAUCAGUUAUAUGCCAAAUUCAGCAAGUGCGAGUUUUGGUUGAAGGAAGUUGGAUUUCUUGGGCAUGUUAUAUCAGGAGAGGGUAUAGCAGUAGAUCCUAGUAAGGUUCAGUCGGUCACUGAAUGGUUGGCACCCACUUCAGUUGGCGAGAUCCGCAGUUUUCUUGGACUGGCAGGAUAUUAUCGGAGAUUCAUUGAGAAUUGUUCCAAGAUUGCUAAACCAAUGACAGAAUUGCUAAAGAAGGAUACUAAGUUCAAAUGGACGGAGGAGUGCGAGACAAGUUUUCAAGAGUUGAAGGAGCGAUUGACUACAGCCCCAGUGCUGACCUUGCCAGACAUACAUAAGGAGUUUCAAGUGUAUUGUGACGCCUCUCGCUUGGGACUUGGGUGUGUGCUCAUGCAGGAAGGAAGAGUUGUUUCGUAUGCCUCACGACAACUGAAGCCACACGAGUUGAACUAUGCCACGCAUGAUUUGGAGUUAGCAGCCGUAGUGCAUGCGUUAAAGACCUGGAGACAUUAUCUUAUUGGAAACCGUUGUGAUGUAUACACGGAUCAUAAGAGCUUGAAGUACAUUUUCACACAAAAGGAGUUGAACCUCAGGCAGAGGAGAUGGUUGGAACUUAUAAAGGAUUACGACAUGAAGCUACACUACCCUCCAGGGAAAGCCAAUGCCGUAGCAGACGCUUUGAGCCAGAAGAGUUAUGCUAAUGUUCUUGUGAGCAAUGGAAUGCCAAAGGAGUUAGCUGCAGAGAUCAUGGAACUAUGAUUGGAGAUUGUUCCAAGAGGUUUUCUUGCAACCAUGGAAGUUCAGUCGACACUGUUGGAUAAGAUUCGAGAAGCUCAGAAGGAGGACAAAGAAAUUGCUGAGAUAAGAGAGAGGAUGGGCGAAGGUAAAGCCAAAGGUUUUCGCGAGGAUGAGCACGAUACCUUAUGGUUUGAGGACCGAAUUUAUGUGCCCAACAAUCCGGAGAUUAGGAAGUUGAUACUUCAGGAGGCCCAUGACUCACCAUACUCGAUUCACCCCAGAAACACCAAGAUGUAUCUGGACUUGAAGGAACGUUUCUGGUGGACUGGAAUGAAGAAGGAUAUUGCCGAGUAUGUAGCCGUAUGUGAUGUAUGUCAGAGAGUGAAGGCAGAACAUCAGAAGCCAGCAGGACUGUUACAGCCUAUGCCAAUACCCGAAUGGAAGUGGGAUAAACUUGGUAUGGACUUUAUUACCGGAUUACCCAAAACGAAGGCAGGAUAUGAUUCCAUAUGGGUAGUUGUGGAUCAAUUGACUAAAGUAGCUCAUUUCAUCCCGGUGAAAACAACAUAUACCAGUGCAAAGUUGGCCAAGAUAUAUAUGACCAGGAUCGUAUGUUUACAUGGAGUUCCGAGGAGCAUCGUACCAGAUAGAGGGACUCAGUUUACUUCAAAGUUUUGGCAUCAGCUACACCAGACUUUGGGAACCCGAUUGGAGUUUAGUACAGCUUUUCACCCGCAGACAGAUGGGCAGACAGAGAGAGUCAAUCAGAUUUUGGAGGACAUGUUGAGAGCCUGUGCGCUAGAUUAUGGAUCUAGUUGGGAUGACAAUUUGCCGUACGCAGAGUUUUCCUAUAACAACAGUUACCAGGCCAGUUUGAAGAUGGCACCAUUCGAAGCUCUGUAUGGACGCAGGUGUAGAACACCAUUGAUGUGGGACGAGGUAGGAGAUUGUCAGUUGUUUGGACCAGAUUUGAUCAAAGAAUCAGAGGAGAAAGUUAAACUGGUCAGAGACAGACUAAAGAUUGCUUAGUCCAGAUAGAAGAGUUACGCAGAUUCAAAACAUAAGGAAGUAACUUAUGAAGUUGGAGACAGAGCCUAUCUACGAGUAUCACCCUUGAGGGGAGUAAAACGAUUUGGAGUUAAGGGAAAGUUAGCCCCGAGAUUUGUAGGACCGUAUCGUAUUUUGGAACGGAUGGGAGAAUUUGCCUACAAGCUGGAGUUACCAGAAGGAUUGUCAGGAGUUCACGAUGUGUUUCACGUAUCGUAGCUGAAGAAGUGCCAUGCGGAGAUGGCCGAUAUACCAUUGAAUGAUACAGUGCCUUUGGAGGCGAUUCAGCUGGAUGAUAAUCUGACCUAUGAGGAGAAGCCAGUUAAGAUUCUUGAGUUUGAUAGCCGAGUCACUCGCAACAAGGUGAUCAAGUUUUGCAAGGUUCAGUGGAGUCAUCAUUCUGAGGAGGAAGCCACCUGGGAGCGAGAGGAGGAUAUUCGCAGAGACUAUCCGCACCUAUUUUCUAGCCAACCCGAAUCUCGAGGGCGAGAUUCAUCUUAAGGGGGUAGGUUUGUAACAUCCCAAAUUUCCAAUUUGGCAUGUUAUACAUAGAUCAUCCAUGCAUAUCAUAUUUUAUUGCUUUUCGAUUUCAAUCCUCGAGAUCCUAACCAACUCAAGGACCUUCGGAGAGAGUUGGGGAUUUUCUAAUUUUCAUAUUUGAGAUUUCUAUCAAAUUUUGAGGACGAGGAUUUGAUUUUAAUUAUUUUCUCUCCGAAAAAUAUUUCAUUUUAAAAUAAUAAAUGAGGGGAGAUAAUAUGACUUCUCCAAAAUAAUUGAAAUAUCGGAGGAAAAAUGUUAAAAAUCAUUUUGGGAUUUUAUUUGAAUUUAUUCCGGGAUUUUAUUCCUCCUAGAAAAAAAGUUGCAUAUUUUAAAAUUGCAUUUUAGGGGCCAAGAAAAGUUCAUCUUGUUCUAAAUAUUUUAUUUAGACGGAGAACUUGUUUUGGAAUUUUUAGAUUUUUAUUUAUUUUUUCUAGGAAUUUUUUCUUCGGCGGAAUGUUUAAAAAAAAAACUUCGCGCCCGACUGGGCCGAAGGCCCAGCCGAGCAGGCCGGCCCAGCGCCGCGCCGCCACCUUCCCCGCGCCGCCGCCGUGCUUGGCACGGACGCCGAGGGCGGGUCCGAGCCGGACUCCACCCCCGGGCGCCCCCUCGCCCAAGCCANNNNNNNNNNNNNNNNNNNNNNNNNNNNNNNNNNNNNNNNNNNNNNNNNNNNNNNNNNNNNNNNNNNNNNNNNNNNNNNNNNNNNNNNNNNNNNNNNNNNNNNNNNNNNNNNNNNNNNNNNNNNNNNNNNNNNNNNNNNNNNNNNNNNNNNNNNNNNNNNNNNNNNNNNNNNNNNNNNNNNNNNNNNNNNNNNNNNNNNNNNNNNNNNNNNNNNNNNNNNNNNNNNNNNNNNNNNNNNNNNNNNNNNNNNNNNNNNNNNNNNNNNNNNNNNNNNNNNNNNNNNNNNNNNNNNNNNNNNNNNNNNNNNNNNNNNNNNNNNNNNNNNNNNNGCCGCCGCCUUCCGCCGCAGCCCCGCAGCCCGCCGCCACCACCGCAGCCCCGUCGGAGCCGCCGCCCCGCCGGACGAGUCGCCGGAGGUACCCGAUCCCCACCGUCGUUUUUCUUAAAUAAACCCUCGGUUUUUUUUGAAAACCCUAGAUCAUGUUUUAGAUCGGUUUUUAUUUUUUAUUUUUUCGGUUUAUUUAUUUAACGAACGUCCGUUCGUCCGUUCGUUCUAACGAACGCGUUCUCUGUUUAGUUUCUGCUAACGAACGUUCGCCCGUUUAGUAGUUCGUUGUUUUUCUUUUAUUCGGAUUUAUUCCGCGAUUAUUCUGAUCGCGAUUUCUGGUCCGAUUUUCAAACCUGUUUAUCUUUUCGCUCAUUUAUGGGAAUCAGGCGAUUCAAGCGCCUGGAGUUUCAUCUCGAAACCCUCUUUCUGAAUAAUCAACUCAAACAAGAUUUUUCUUCUGUAAAAUUUGACCUAGAUCCAGAAUAGAAAAACGAAGUUGUUUCUUUCGCCGUUUGAGUUUUGUUGCUUCGUUUGAUUUUAUUCUUCUUGUAACCCAGAGUUCUUAAGUUGAACUCUCCGGUCAACCUCUUUUAUCUGGAGUUCUACUUGUGCAUCUUGAUUGUUGCUUAUGUAUGUUAUUUGUUUGCUUGCGCUAGAAUUCCCGGAGUGCGAAGCGUGUUACUACGAGUCUCUUGGAUACCCGGACCGUCAGCAAGGCAAGUAACACGUUGAUCAUACUCUUUUCAUACCCAGUUUUUAUGCAUUAGUUCAAUCCUCAAACAUUGCAUGAUUAGGAUGCUUUAACAUGUGGGUAUUGGGAAGUAGUUGAUGAGGUAGAACCUAUUGCCCUGUUUAUUAUCAAACCCUUGGGAGUUACUUCUACGUUAGGCUUAUAUUGCCAUGCUAUGCUCGUAGACGUGGAUUGGAUUUGAGUGAUAUCCAUGACAGAUGUGAGAUUGAUAAUUAAUGGUUUAUUUAAGGUGGCAACUUUAAUACACAUCUGGGUGGAUUGAGGCACCUGGGGUUACCAGUGAUUGCCUGUUUUAUUUUUGGAAAUCCCGGGGUUACCCUGUGAUUCUCCUAUGGACCGCCACCCAGGAUCAAAGGGAACUGAGUCUAUUCAUGCUAGAAACUUCCGUGUGCAGCCGCAAGCUAUUAUGGGCUCUAGCAUAGUUUGAGUAAGUUGCGUGAAGCUCUUGAAGAGGUGGAUCAGCAGGUAGUGGGUUUGUAGGUUUGGUAUGGUCUGCCCGGAGUAGAGAGUUAAUGCUUCUGAAAGACUGUGUCUCGGUCAUCCGUCUCUCAAACACCAUGCAGUGUGAGAAUCAACGGAGGCGAUCGAGUCUUGCGGGGAAAAGUGCGCAAACCUCUACAGAGUGUACAAUCUAAUCAUGGUUAGCCGUGUCCCCGGUUAUGGACAAUUCUGAGUAUCUAGUACUUGAGUAUUCGCAUGUAUCUCAACACUCUUAAUAACUAAUUUUGCUUGGGUUGUUAAUUACUUCUAAUUGGGAUCAUUGAGUUGGGGUUUACCUUCUCAGAUGAUGUUUCAACUACCAUGAUAGUAAAUUAAAAUUGAUUCCUUUGUAGUAGGGAAAAUUGGCUUUCGCAAAACUGUAACCAUAGAGCUUUCCACCAGCCAAAUAUGCAUGUAGUGGUAGCAUUAUUCUGUUAUUACUCUUUUGUGUUACUGCCAGCAUAUUCCAUGUGUUGACCCGUUCUCGGGCUGCAACGUAUUAUGUUGCAGACUUUUCAGACGAGGAGUAAGGUUCGUAGGUCGUUGCCGUGCAGCUCAGCUAUGCCGUUGGAGUUGAUGGACUCACUUUAUCUUCCAAGCCUUCCGCUGUUAUCGCAUUAGAUGGCCUUAAGCAAUAUUAUUGUAAUAAGUUCUCUUUUGAGACAUUCGAUGUUAUAAGUGUGUGAUUGCUACUAUGUUUUAAAUCCUUCGAAGUACUGUGUGGUGUCAGCAUUACUGAUCCAGGGAUGACACCUGAGCACAGAGACUUGACCGUCUGAGGUCGGGUCGCUACAGGCAGGUUGAGACCACCUAGGAGAGAGGUGGGCAUGGCCCUGGUCAGCGUCCGCGGUUACUUCAAAAUAACAUGCUUAACGAGAUCUUGGUAUUUGAUCUGAGUCUGGCCACUGGCCUAUACGCACUAACCAACUAAGCGGGAACAGUUAUGGGCACUCGACGUCGUGGUAUCAGCCGAAGCCUUUGUAACGUCAGCGACUGAGUGUCGCGCGCUGGAUUGGACUGGAACGCUUGCUCUUGUAUUAGGGAGGCUAGGUCUGCUUCUGGCCGCGUUCGCAAUGUGCAGGUGUGCAAAGGGCGAUGGGCCCAGACCCCUGCGCCAUAGGAUUUAGAACGGCAUGCUGACCUCUUUGUUGUGCCUUGGUGGGGCUACGACGUGUUGAUCUUCCGAGGCCGGGCAUGACCCAGGAAAGUGUGUCCAGCCAAAUGGGAUCGAGUGUGUUGGGUUAUGUGGUGCACCCCUGCAGGGAAGUUUAUCUAUUCGAAUAGUCGUGUCCCUCGGUAAAAGGACGACCCAGAAUUGUACCUUGACCUUAUGACAACUAGAACUGGAUACUUAAUAAAAUACACCCAGACAAGUUCCAUAAACAACCCGGUGUUUGCUUUUCCACAGGGCGACGAGGGGAGGAUCGCCGGAUAGGAUUAUGCUAUGCGAUGCUACUUGGAGGACUUCAAUCUACUCUCUUCUACAUGCUGCAAGACGGAGGCUACCAGAAGCGUAGUCUUCGAUUGGACUAGCUAUCCCCCUCUUAUUCUGGCAUUUUGCAGUUCAGUCCACCGAUAUUACCAUUUUACACAUAUACCCAUGCAUAUGUAGUGUAGAUCCUUGCUUGCAAGUACUUUGGAUGAGUACUCACGGUUGCUUUUCUCCCUCUUUUCCCCCUUUCCCUUCUACCUGGUUGUCGCAACCAGAUGCCGGAGCCCAGGAGCCAGACGCCACCGUCGACGACGACUCUUACUACAGUGGAGGUGCCUACUGCUACGUGCAGGCUGCUGACGACGACCAGGAGUAGUUAGGAGGAUCCCAGGCAGGAGGCAUGCGCCUCUUUGAUCUGUAUCCCAGUUUGUGCUAGCCAUCUUAUGGCAACUUGAUUAACUUAUGUCUGUACUCAGAUAUUGUUGCUUCCGCUAACUCGUCUAUGAUCGAGCACUUGUAUUCGAGCCCUCGAGGCCCCUGGCUUGUAAUAUGAUGCUUGUAUGACUUAUUUGUGUUUUUAGAGUUGUGUUGUGAUAUCUUCCCAUGAGUCCCUGAUCUCGAUCGUACAGGUUUGUGUGCAUGAUUAGUGUACGGUUGAAUCGGGGGCGUCACAAUAGGAAGCAAAGUAAUAUUUUUAUCCUUAUGAACAAGAGUAAACUGAUUGUUCCUACCAUGGUGUAUAUAAUUUUUAUCAAAUUGCCGUGGUCUACCAAGUAAUAAGGAACAUGCUUGCAUAGGUAUCACAUCACAAUCAACAUAAUCAACAUAUGUAGAGAUACUAAAAUGCACACGAAUAGUACGUGUUACCUUAACCUUGCCGCUGUUGUUGAACCAUUGGAUGUAGUAAGGAUUGAUACGUCUCCGACGUAUCUAUAAGUUUCGAUUGCUCCAUGCUACUUUAUCUACUGUUUUAGGCAAUAUUGGGCUUUAUUAUCCACGUUUACAUUAUUUUUGGGACUAACCUAUUAACCGGGGGCCCAGCCCAGAUUUGCUGUUUUAUGCCUAUUUCGGUGUUUCGAGGAAAAGGAAUAUCAGACGGAGUCAAAACGGAACGAAAUCAACUGGAGAAGUUAAUUUUGAAAGGAGACCAACCUGAUGGGCUUGGAUUGCAUGCCAGGGGAGUCCCGGGCUGCCCACGAGGGUGGAGGGCACGCCCUCCCCCUGGGUGCGCCCCCUACCUCGUGAGCAGCCCGGAGGUCCACCGACGUCACCCCCUGCUCCUAUAUAUACCAAUAUACCCUAAAACUUCCAGAACAGAAGAUAGAUCGGGAGUUCCGCCGCCGCAAGCCUCUGUAGCCACCAAAAACCAAUUGGGACCCUGUUCCGGCACCCUGCCGGAGGGGGAUCCCAUCACCGGUGGCCAUCUUCAUCAUCCCGGCGCUAUACAUGACGAGGAGGGAGUAGUUCACCCUCGGGGCUGAGGGUAUGUACCAGUAGCUAUGUGUUUGAUCUCUCUCUCUCGUGUUCUCUCUUGUGUUCCAUCUAUGGCACGAUCUUGGUGUAUCCCGAGCUUUGCUAUUGUAGUUGGAUCUUAUGAUGUUUCUCCCCCUCUACUCUCUUGUGAUGAAUUGAGUUUCCCCUUUUGAAGUUAUCUUAUUGGAUUGAUUCUUUUAUGAACACUUGAUGUAUGUCUUGCGUGGGAUAACCGUGGUGACAAUGGGUUAUUCUAUUGAUCCACUUGAUGUAUAUUUUGGUGAUCAACUUGCGGGUUUCUGACACUUGGGAACCUAUGCAUAGGGGUUGGCACACGUUCUUGACUCUUCGGUAGUUACUUUGGGGCACUCUUUGAAGUACUUUUAUGUUGGUUGGAUGAAUCUGAGAUUGUGUGAUGCAUAUCGUAUAAUCAUGCCCACGGAUACUUGAGGUGACAAUGGAGUAUCUAGGUGACAUUAGGGUUUUGGUUGAUUUGUAUCUUAGGGUGUUAUUCUAGUACGAACUCUUUUAUAGAUCGAUCCGAAAGAAUAGCUUUGUGGUGGUUUCGUACCCGACCAUAAUCUCUACGUUUGUUCUCCGCUAUUAGUGUCUUUGGAGUGACUCUUUGUUGCAUGUUGAGGGCUUUUCAUAUGUUCUAUCUAUGUUAUUAUUGUUAAGAGAACUUACACUAGUGAAAGUAUGAACCCUAGGCCUUGUUUCCUAUCAUUGCAAUACCAUUUACGCUCACUUUUAUCGCUCGCUACCUUGCUGUUUUUAUUAUUUCAAAUUAUAGAAACCUAUAUCUACAAUCUAUUUUGCACUUGUAUCACCAUCUCUUCGCCGAACUAGUGCACCUAUACAAUUUGCCAUUGUAUUGGGUGUGUUGGGGACACAAGAGACUUUUUGUUAUUUGGUUGCAGGGUUGAUUGAGAGAGACCAUCUUCAUCCUACGCCUCCUACGGAUUGAUAAACCUUAGGUCAUCCACUUGAGGGAAAUUUGCUACUGUCCUACAAACCUGUGCACUUGCAGGCCCAACAACGUCUACAAGAAGAAGGUUGUGUAGUAGACAUCAAGCUCUUUUCUAGCGCCGUUGCUGGCGAGGCUAGGUAAGUGAAGGUAUAUCUUUAGAUCUUGCAAUUGAAUCUUUUUGUUUCUUGUUUUAGCACUAGUCUAGUUUAUAAACGAAAACUACAAAAAAUGGAGUUGAGUUUGUCUCAUACGCUUCACCUUUUUAAUAUCUUUCGUGAGUAUGAUGGAAAGGAUAAUUGUGCUCAAGUGCUAGAAGAAGAAAUCUAUAGAAUGUUUGGAACUAAAUAUGUGAAUGAUGAGCAUGAUUGCAAUGUUGUUAGUAUGAAUUCCUUGAAUAUCCAUGAUGCUAACGAUAUGCAAAGCCGCAAGCUUGGGGAAGCUAUGUUUGAUGAAGAUGAUAUUUUUCCCCCAAGCUUUGAUGAGCAAAUUUACUAUGAUGAAAGCAUGCCUCCUAUCUAUGAUGAUUAUUGUGAUGAACAUAUGCUUUAAAGAAUAAUGAUAACCAUGAAACGUGUCAUCUUGAUCUUAAUUUUCAAUCACAUGAUAGUUAUUUUGUUGAGUUUGCUCCCACUACUAUUCAUGAGAAGAAAUUUGCUUAUGUUGAGAGUAGUAAAUUUUCUAUGCUUGUAGAUCAUGAAAAGAAUGCUUUAGGUGUUGGUUAUAUUGUUGAAUUCAUUCAUGAUGCUACUGAAAAUUAUUAUGAGAGAGGAACAUAUGCUUGUAGGAAUUGCGAUAAUAUCAAGUUUCCUCUCUAUGUGCUUAAAUUCUUAAAUCUAUGCUUGUGUUACCUUCCUAUGCUAGUUGAUUAUUGUUCUCAUAAGUUGUUUGCUCACAAAAUCCCUAUGCAUAGGAAGUGGGUUAGACUUAAAUGUGCUAGUCAUAUGCUUCAUGAUGCUCCUGUUAUGUUUCAAUUCUUAUCUUUUAUGUGAGCAUCAUUAUCAUCAUCAUGCCUAGCUAAAGGGCAUUAAAGAAAAGCGCUUGUUGGGAGACAACCCAAUAUUUAUCCUUACUGUUUUUGUGUGUCCACAUGAUUAUUCUACUGUAGUAAUCAUGUUUUAUAGCUUUUGUUUCAAUAAAGUGCCAAGUAGAACCUUUGGGAAGACUUGGGUGAAGUUUAUGUGAUCUUGCUGUGAAAAACAGAAACUUUAGCGCUCACGAGAUUAGCUGCCAUUUUUUUACUGGAGAGUGAUUUUAGGUUGAUUAUUUUUGAAGAUGAUUAAUAGACCAAUUUCUCAGGUCCAGCAAUUUAUUUCAUAAUUUUUGGGAUUCCAGAAGUAUACGUUUUAUACAGAUUACUACAGACUGUUCUGUUUUUGACAGAUUCUGUUUUCUAUGUGUUGCUUGCUUAUUUUGAUGAAUCUAUGAGUAGUAUCGGAGGGUAUGAACCAUAGAUAAGUUGGAGUACAGUAGAUAUUACACCAAUAUGAAUUUAGAAUGAGUUCAUUACAGUACCUAAGUGGUGGUUUUAUUUUCUUAUACUAAUGGAGCUUACGAGUUUUGUUUUGAGUUUUGUGUGGUUGAAGUUUUCAAGUUUUGGGUAACGAUUCGAUGGACAAUGGAAUAAGGAGUGGAAAGAGCCUAAGUUUGGGGAUGCCCAAGGCACCCCAAGGUAAUAUUCAAGGACAACCAAGCAACUAAACUUGGGGAUGCCCCGGAAGGCAUCCCCUCUUUCGUCUUCGUUCAUCGGUAACUUUACUUGGAGCUAUAUUUUUAUUCGUCACAUGAUAUGUGUUUUGCUUGGAACGCCAAUUUAUUUUGUUAGUUUUUGCUUGAUGUUAGUUAGAAUUGUGUUUUUCCUCUUUAGUUUCAAUAAAAAAGUCAAGGAUAACCUUUGUAAUGCUUGUUUUGCUAGUAUACAUGUUGCUGUUUGAAAAACAGAAAGUUUACCUCUGUUGCAAAAAUUCCCUAGAAAAGUCAGAGAGUGGUUUAACGUUGAAUCUUUUUGCAUAUUGAGAUAUGAUAAAUUUAUUACAGUGGUAAUUUUAGUUCAUAAUUUUUGGAGUUAGGGAAGUAUGAUGACUCUUGCAUUCUUUACAGACUGUACUGUUUUGACAGAUUGCUGUUAUGGUUGCAUUGUUUGCAUAUGUUUGCUUGUUUAAUGAUUCUAUUUGGUGAUAGGAGUAUUAAAUAUGCAGAGGCAUUUAGUAUGCAAUGGUUAAUAAUAAUUAGAGUGAUUUUUUACAGUAUAAAAUGAUAAGGUUUUGCAUUGGUUUAUACUAACCUAUCUCAUGAGUUCUUGUUGAGUUUGUUGUGAAUGAAGCUUUUGAUAAAAAGAAGAGAAACCAUGAUAUGAGAGGAAUUAAGGAGAUACAAAAGUUCAAGCUUGGGGAUGCCCGAGGCACCCCAAGAUAAUAUUUCAAGAAGUCUCAAGCAUCUAAGCUUGGGGAUGCCCCGGUAGGCAUCCCACCUUUCUUCUUCAACAACUAUCGGUUAGUAUCAGUUGAGCCUAAGUUUUUGCUUCUUACAUGAGUUGUGCUAUCCUUGCAAUGUAGUUUUCUUUAGCUUUGCUUUCUGUUUGAAUAAAGUAUCAAGAUGUGAAAUUAUUAAAUAGGAGAGUCUUCACAUAGUUGCAUAAUUAUUCGACUACUCAUUGAUCUUCACUUAUAUCUUUCGGAGUAGUUUGUCAUUUGCUCUAGUGCUUCACUUAUAUCUUUUAGAGCAUGAUGGUAGUUUUAUUUUGAAGAAAUAGAUGAACUCUAAUGCUUCACUUAGAUUAUUUUGAGAGUCUUACAUAGCAUGGUAAUUUGCUUAAUGUUAAUAUACUUGGUAUUCAAGAUAUGUGAAACUUUCUUUUGAGUGCAUUGAAUACUAAGUUUGGUGCUUGAUAAUUGUUUUGAGAUAUGGAGGUGAUAAUAUCAAAGUCGUGCUAGUUGGGUAAUUGUGAAUUUGAGAAAUGCUUGUGUUGAAGUUUGCAAGUCCCGUAGCAUGCACGUAUGGUUAAAGUUGUGUAACAAAUUUGAAACGUGAAGUGUACCUGGCUUGUGCAUCCUUAUGAGUGGCGGUCGGGGACGAGCGAUGGUCUUUUCCUACCAAUCUAUCCCCCUAGGAGCAUGCGCGUAGUACUUGAAUUUUUGAUGACUUCUAAAUUUUUGCAAUAAGUAUAUGAGUUCUUUUGACUAAUGUUGAGUCCAUGGAUUAUACGCACUCUCACCUUUCCGCCUUUGCUAGCCUCUUCGGUACCGUGCAUUGCCCUUUCUCACCUUGAGAGUUGAUGCAAACUUCGCUGGUGCAUCCAAACCCCGUGAUACGAUACGCUCUAUCACACAUAAACCUCCUUAUAUCUUCCUCAAAACAGCCACCAUACCUACCUAUCAGUACAUUUCCAUAGCCAUUCCGAGAUAUAUUGCCAUGCAACUUCCACCAUCAUUAUCAUGACAUACAUUACUUUUGUCAUAUUGCCAUUGCAUGAUCAUGUAGUUGACAUCGUAUUUGUGGCAAAGCCACCAUGCAUUAUUUUUCAUACGUGUCACUCUUGAUUCAUUGCACCAUCCCGGUACACCGCCGGAGGCAUUCAUAUAGAGUCAUAUCUUGUUCUAAGUUUUGAGUUGUAAUCCUUAUGUUGUAAUCAAUAGAAGUGUGAUGAUCAUCAUUAUUAGAGCAUUGCCCAAAUAAAAAAAAUAAAAAAAAGGUAAAGGCCCAAAAAAAAGAGAAAGGCCAAAAUAAAAAAAGGGCCCAAAAAAAGGGGGCAAUGCUACUAUCUCUUUUUCCACACUUGUGCUUCAAAGUAGCACCUUGUUCUUCAUGUAGUGAGUCCCAUAUAUUGUUGUUCAAAGUAGCACCUUGUUCUUCAUGUAGUGAGUCUCAUAAGUUGUUUUUUAUAUACUAGUGGGAACUUUUCAAUAUAGAACUUGGCUUGUAUAUUCCUACGAUGGGCUUCCUCAAAUGCCCUAGGUCUUCGUGAGCAAGCAAGUUGGAUGCACACCCACUAGUUUUGUUUUGUUGAGCAUUCAUAGCUCUAGUGCAUCCGUUGCAUGGCAAUCCCUACUCCUCAUGUUGACAUCAAUUGAUGGGCAUCUCCAUAGCCCGUUGAUUAGCCUCGUCAACGUGAGACUUUCUCCUUUUUUGUCUUCUCCACACAAUCCCCAUCAUCAUAUUCUAUUCCACCCUUAGUGCUAUAUCCAUGGCUCACGCUCAUGUAUUGCGUGAAGGUUGAAAAAAUUCGAGAUUAUUUAAGUAUGAAACAAUUGCUUGGCUUGUCAUCGGGGGUAUAGAAGUUGCGAACAUCUUUGUGUGACGAAAAUGAGGCAUAGCCUAACUAUAUGAUUUUGUAGGGAUGAACUUUCUUUUGCCAUGUUAUUUUGAGAAGACAUGAUUGCUUUGAUUAGUAUGCUUGAAGUAUUACUAUUUUUGUGUCAAUAUGAACUUUUGUCUUGAAUCUUUCAGAUAUGAAUAUUCAUAUCACAAUUAAUAAGAUUUACAUUGAAAUUAUGCCAAAGUAUCACUCCGCAUCAAAAAUUCUUUUUUAUCAUUUACCUACUUGAGGACGAGCAGGAAUUAAGCUUGGGGAUGCUUGAUACGUCUCCAACGUAUCUAUAAUUUUUGAUUGCUCCAUGCUACUUUAUCUACUGUUUUAGGCAAUAUUGGGCUUUAUUAUCCACUUUUAUAAUAUUUUUGGGACUAACCUAUUAACCGGAGGCCCAGCCCAGAUUUGCUGUUUUAUGCCUAUUUCAGUGUUUCGGGGAAAAGGAAUAUCAAACGGAGUCAAAACGGAACGAAAUCAACUGGAGAAGUUAAUUUUGGAAGGAAACCAACCUGAUGGGCUUGGAGUGCACGCCAGGAGAGUCCUAUACCCUAAAACUUCCAGAACAGAAGAUAGAUCGGGAGUUCCACCACCGCAAGCCUCUGUAGCCACCAAAAACCAAUCGGGACCCCGUUCUGGCACCCUGCCGGAGGGGGAUCCCAUCACCGGUGGCCAUCUCCAUCAUCCCGACGCUAUCCAUGACGAGGAGGGAGUAGUUCACCCUCGGGGCUGAGGGUAUGUACCAGUAGCUAUGUGUUUGAUCUCUCUCUCUCUCUCGUGUUCUCUCUCGUGUUCCAUAUAUGGCACUAUCUUGAUGUAUCCCGAGCUUUGCUAUUGUAGUUGGAUCUUAUGAUGUUUCUCCCCCUCUACUCUCUUGUGAUGAAUUGAGUUUCCCCUUUUGAAGUUAUCUUAUUGGAUUGAGUCUUUUAUGAACACUUGAUGUAUAUCUUGCGUGGGAUAACCAUGGUGACAAUGGGUUAUUCUAUUGAUCCACUUGAUGUAUGUUUUGGUGAUCAACUUGCGGGUUUCGUGACACUUGGGAACCUAUGCAUAGGGGUUGGCACACGUUCUUGACUCUCCGGUAGUAGCUUUGGGGCACUCUUUGAAGUACUUUUAUGUUGGUUGGAUGAAUCCGAGAUUGUGUGAUGCAUAUCGUAUAAUCAUGCCCACGGAUACUUGAGGUGAUAAUGGAGUAUCUAGGUGACAUUAGGGUUUUGGUUGAUUUGUAUCUUAAGGUGUUAUUCUAGUAUGAACUCUUUUAUAGAUCGAUCCGAAAGAAUAGCUUUGUGGUGGUUUCGUACCCGACCAUAAUCUCUACGUUUGUUCUCUGCUAUUAGUGUCUUUGGAGUGACUCUUUGUUACAUGUUGAGGGCUUGUCAUAUGUUCUAUCUAUGUUAUUAUUGUUGAGAGAACUUACACUAGUGAAAGUAUGAACCAAUAGGCCUUCUUUCCUAUCAUUGCAAUACCGUUUAUGCUCACUUUUAUCGCUCGCUACCUUGCUGUUUUUAUUAUUUCAAAUUACAAAAACCUAUAUCUACUAUCUAUUUUGCACUUGUAUCAUCAUUUCUUCGCCAAACUAGUGCACCUAUACAAUUUGCCAUUGUAUUGGGUGUGUUGGGGACACAAGAGACUUUUUGUUAUUUGGUUGCAGGGUUGCUUGAGAGAGACCAUCUUCAUCCUACGCCUCCUACGGAUUGAUAAACCUUAGGUCAUCCACUUGAGGGAAAUUUGCUACUGCCCUACAAACCUGUGCACUUGCAGGCCCAACAACGUCUACAAGAAGACGGUUGUGUAGUAGACAUCAAGGAUGUGGAUGUGGUCUUGUGGUGAGAGAGAGCUUCUCCACCAUCUCCAUGCUAGCCAAAUUGUUGCAGCUCCCUCCGUCUAUCAUGACGCGCACAGAACAUUCCUUCACAACUCCCUUUGUAUGGAACAAAUUAUGCCUUUGAUUUUUCUCUGCUUGUGUGACCUGCACACUCAAAACAUGUUGAGCAACUAAACUUUCAUACCUAUCAGCGUCUUUAGGAGCCAUGUUUUGCGUCUCAUGAUCAGAAUUAUCUCCACCGUGUUUUUCACGUGUAAUAAGAGCCAAAGUCUCCUCAUCAUAGUCACUAGCAGACUCAUACCUACCAUCUUCAGUAGCAAUCAUCACACACUGAGGUUUGCAUUCUCUCGCAUAAUGACCUCUUCCCUUACAACAACGACAAAUAAUAUCACUUGUGUGCCCAGUUGAUGCCAUGGAAGAAGAAGAGCUCUGUGCAGGGCCGGCAGGUGCGCUCUUGGCAGAUAGUGGUGGUUGUGCCUGCUUCUUGUAUCACGGCUGGAGGUGGCACCUAAUGGAGGUGCUGGUGCAGUGGAAGUAGAAGAUGCACGCGGUGUCCAUGAUGAAGGUCGACCUGCAGAAAAGUUAGUUCGCGCCAAUGCUUGUCGAUCCUGCACUUCAUGUUCAGCUUUACAAGCAAGAUGAAAUAAACGAGUGAUAUUAGUAUACUCCUUAUACUCUAGAAUGGUCUGAAUCCCUCUAUUUAAUCCACCCAUAAAAUGUGCAAGCAUAGCUUCAUUCUCCUCAACAAUACCACAUCUAAUCAUGCCAGUUUGUAAAUCCUGAUAAUAUUCUUCUACAAAAAAUUUUCCUUGUCUUAAAUGCUGCAAUUUUUGAAGCAAUUCACGUUGAUAAUAUGGUGGAACCCAACGAGUACGCAUAGCUAUUUUCAAAGAAGCCCAAGUAGCUAGAAUAGGAUAUAAUCUACAAUGUUCAGACCACCAUACACAUGCAAAACUAGUGAAAGCACAAACAGCAGCAACAACCCGUCUCUCCUCGGGAUAUUGUAAACAUGUAAAACAUUGUUCAGUUUCUAACUCCCAAGUAAGAUAUACAUCAGGAAUGUAUCUACCCUCAAACAGUGGAAUAUUCAAUUUUAGUUUAGGAACAUGGUCAUGAUCUUGUACCUGAGGUGGUGGUGCAGGCCUACCGUUGCGAAUAAAUACCUGAGGUCGACCUGCUGGUGGUGGUGCUUGUGGCCGCACGUAGUUCUGAUUUUGAUCAACCUCAUCCUCGUAAUAGCCCUCCACCUCUGCAGUAGCAGCAGGAGCUAUAGAAGCACCAACAGCAGUAGCAGUGGCACCAGAAUUUUGUCCUGGCUCAAUAGGAACACGCUGUGCUCGCCCUACUGUAUCGCGGCGUAGAACUGGUUGUGGGAGACGUUUGAGUAAUUCAUCGAACUUGGCGUCCAACUUGGUGUCAAUUGUCUUCUCAAUGUCAUCCAUCCUCUCCAAUGCCUUUCCAAAGCUGGACAUCACGUCUUCCACAUGUUGACCCAACAUUUGAUGAAACUUAUCAUGAAGCUCCUUGUUCGUCAUGUUCUCCCAGUCAAUCUCAUUGGCUUGUGUUCCCGCCAUAGUUAGCAGCAAUAGAAACAUACAAGAAUAUGAUCCUACAGACUACUGGAAUAUGGUGGUGGUGGAGUGUCACAAAUCCGUCAAGCGGAUCUCAAAUUCUUACCAGUUCUUACCCAGCAGCAGGUGGUGAUCGGCAACCGUUGUAGUCAAAACUCUCAAAUCUUGGAUAGAGCGAUUACCAGGGAGAGUCAAACGCACGACGUAGAUGUAUGUGGAGAUGGGAAGGCUUAUAAUAUGGUAGCAAAAAGGAUCAGCAAUAAUCAAUUCAGAGAUGCAAAGUUGAAUAAACGCUCAAUGAUGGUACUGUGCUAGUCCUAGGCUAGACCGUGCCAGAGAUGCGAGCCUAGAACACUAACAAAAUCACGGCGCUGCACGUAAACAAGGGAAAAGCACACUCUGGAAUUAUUUUUUGCGCUCUGCUUUUUUUUGUGAAAAAUCACUAUAAUGGCGAGUGUCUCAAAACUCUUCCUAGGUCAAACUGACAGGAUGGGCACGAAAUUUUUUUGACAAUUUUUUUUCGGAAAUCAGGGCAGCGACGACGAAAAAGUGCGACAAAAAAUCACUAUGAUGGCGAGUGUCUCAAAACACUCCCUGGGACCUAAAAAUAGGAUAGGGAGAAAAUAUUUUCGGACGCCGAAAUUUUGGCCUAAAAACUGCCCGGGGGUCUCCAGACUCUUUGUGGGAAACCUACUCAGGCAAGGAAACACGAAUCGGAAACUAGAUGGAUCUCGAUAACAAACCUAAUAUGAAAAGAACUCGGAUUGGUGGUGGAAAUAUGGUGGUAGGAUAUGGGAGCGGUGGUGGUAUAUGGUAGCGGUGGUGGUAUAUGGAUACGGAUCGGUGGUGAUAUAUGGAUACGGAUCGGUGGUGGUAUAUGGAUACAGAUCAGUGGUGGUAUAUGGAUACGGAUUCAGAGCGGUGGUGGAUAAGCGGUGGUGGUAGAUGGCAGGGGCGAUGAUGAUGGUGCGGCGGCGGCGUGACAACUUAUGACUAGAACUCGAAACUCUAAAAGACUAGAUUCUAAGAGUAGCAACUAGACACGACGAUGCAACCGCAAAUUCAACAACGCAAAUACAGAAAAGAUUAUGCAAUGGCUCCGACUGGUUCGGAUAUGAUGAACUAACCCUAAUUUUUUUUGUGGCUUUUUUGUGGACUAUAGGUAUGAAGAACAGACUCGAUCUAAACUACGAAAAAUUGUAAAAUCUCAUCGAGGAACCUGGAAAUAUGAUACCACUUGAUAGAGGCAAAGGUGUCCCGUCUUUCGAUGAGAUGGUGGCUAUCGUUUCGGAGGAAGUCAACUUUGACAAUCCGACUACGAACGUGCGAGGACGUCGCGCCUUAGCAAUCGCUAAACCAACUCCGAGAGGUUAUUGACCACGCCGGAGCACGAUCAACUUGACCACAAAGGUCUGUUUCCUGCGGGCAAACGAAGAACAAGCAAGAAACUAAGAUUGCAAUCUGGAUAUUGCGAAUAUAAGAUGAAAGCUUUAUUGAUCAAGGUGGGAUUCUGUGACGCCUUUGUCUGAUCGUUGAACACAAAUGAAGUACGCGAAGUUGCAGCUAUGGCGAACUUUAAUCUAAACAAAACCCAAAGUCUAAACGACGCCCUAACACUACUAGGGAAAAGGCUAGCAGCAGCGCGGGUUUUAGGUGUAUCAGUAGCGCGGGCAGGCGCGCUACUAAUAAGGCCCGCACGCGCUACUGCUAGGACAAAUAGCUGCAGUGUUUGUUCAAUCCCACGCUACUGCUAAUGUAACUACUGGCAGCGUGUUUUCUCUCCGUCGCUACUAGUAUUCUUUUUUUUAGUGUAUUUAUGCGCCAUCGUACAAAUAUUGGUACAAUACCAGUUAUGAGGUUUACAUCAUUAUGUCCAUAACAAUGUGUCAAAUGAAGGUGGAUUAGGUUCAAGUGGAGGCAAUAUGUGGUGCAUGUCAAAAGUAUACUACUAAUCCAAACUUGAUCUAGUUUGGACUAGUAGUACUUUCGAUGUGCACCCCAUGUUGCCUCCACUUGAAUCUAAUCCGCCAGCACAAGCUAUUUAAUCAUCAUCAUAGUCAUUACCACCAACAGUAUUUAUUUAAUCACCACUAGCACUAGCUAAUAAUAAUCAUUAUAGUCAUUACCACCAACACUAGCUAUUUUAUCAUCAUAGUAAUAGUGUAGCACAUCAUCAUCCUCAAACUCAUUUCUAGCUAGCUAAUCACUCCUGCUGCUCUCUCUUAGGUAAAAUAACAUAAAACAUGUGUAGCUCUCCUCCUUGAUCAAGUUGGAGCAUGCAGAUGAACCUAUCUCCUAAUCAUGGGUAGCGCAUCUGUUUGCCGCCCCCUAGUACUUCUCUGCGCUCCCCCAUCACAUAUUUGGUCCAGUCUUGCACUAUUAAGCAUCUGUCGCUGAUCUUGAAUGCACUAAAGUAAUUUGUAGGAUAUCUUGGCCGUAAGCUAAUAAUACUCAUGGUACCUUUAGUCUCGAUCCCAUAAGGCACAACAUUCAUCGGGAGUCCCUGUUGAAGAACAUCAUAUGGUAACAUACUUAGCAAUGAAGUUUAGCUUCAAAAAUAAUGUAUGGAAAAGAUGCACUGAGGACAAAUAGUAAAAAUCUUACCAUCCUUCCUAAAUAGAUGUGACCAUAGUUCAUUAUGAACAGUGUUGGUCGCACGUUUUCAGUACUAAUAUUUCUAAAUGCAGGAAGAAAAUUUGUCUUGACAGUAUCAAGAUCCGCAAUCCAUGAAACAUAAUGACUUAGCUCCUCGCAGUUGAGUUCAGCCCUGGGACAGUAGUAGGUCCUGUCUACCAAGCGUUGGACAUGUUUGCUUGCACCGAAAUAAGCUGACAAUACAAAUUAGUUGUUAACCAUUUUUGAAUAAACAAUAUCAAAGACAUAAAUAUGGUUGAGAAACUUACAUAAUGGUAUAACUGGAGGAGUCUGCACAUCGACCCAGAUGUCAGUAUUACCUUCAAUAUCAUCUUCCGGACGAAUAUUAAAGGUGAUAACCAUAUCAGGCUCAAAUGCAUAAGUCUUGCAUAGUGCUCGCCAUGUUUUGCAUCCAAAAUAGCUGCAGUCGUCUGAAUUGUGUAAUUUUGCAUGGAAAAUAUAACCAUGCUCGGUCUUCAAGUAAACUUUCUUUACCUCCGUAGUAUGACUGAAACCUAUCUUAUCCAAUACAAAAACUCUUGCAUGGCAGGGGAUACGCUAGUAGAAUAGUAAAAAAAAUAUAAGUUGAAGCAAAUGUCAUGCUUAAUUACGAAAAAAGACUUGUCGUUGUGACUUACUGUAUCCACUUCGAAGUUCUCGUCCAGCUUGAUGCUGAAGCGCCUAUCAUCAUCUAGGAAGAUUCCGUCGCACAGGCCGCGCUCGUCUUUGCAGUAUUUGCAAAUACCAAAAUCCUUUUCAUCGUCAGACAUUUCCUAUGUUCAUAGUUAAAACAUUAAUUGAAAAUUGAUCGAAGACAACUACCAGGAUACUCAACACACAAAUCCGGGGCACUAGAUAAUUCCUACAUAUUCUGGCACAAGUCAUGCCAAAAUUCACGGAAAAAUCCGGCAUGACCUAUGCUAAAAUAGGACAUAUCGAGCGCCUGAAAUUUGCCGGAACGGAAAUGAAUCAACACUCCAGCAAAACAUAGGCCACUCGGAGGUGUAACCUGCAAACAUGACCGGCCACUUGUAUAUUGAGAAACACAAGAUAUACAUUUCAAAAUAUCUUAUAGGACUCAAAUUAGCAUGCAUUCAAUAAGCAAAAGUAAAUCAUCUCAUGCGUCCGUACAUCGUCGAAUAUUAUCACUAAUACAUCACGAAUAAUGUCAUACAUAUAACAUCACUAAUACAACUAAAACCCUAGCACACGACGGGUAUCGGUGCGGACGGUGGACACCCACAGAGAAGGAACCAUCACGGGAUCAUAGCUCCAGUGAGAUCCCUGGAGAACCUGCCAGGUAUUGGAGAACCUGUGCUCCAACGCAAACAAGUAGCGACGGACGUGCGCGUCCUCCUCACUGACACGGUGACGCACCACCUCCGCGGAGUCCUCGAGCCUCUGGACCGUCACUGGCCCAUGCGACCGCCACCAAAGAAGGUUCGGGUCAACGACAGGCUGGCUCCUCACCAACCUGCGCCCCCCGGUAGGUAGCGCCUCCCAGUACCACCCCGGCGGAGCCCAGUCCCGGACAUGGCCCAUCUGGUCAAGCAGGUGUCGUUCUCCGCCGACUCGACGACGAGGAUGCGGGAUAGGCAUCGUCCACGUCGAGGCGGGAAAAUUGCUUUAACUAAAAAAUAGGAACACGUUCUUACUAACUAGUUCUAUUAAUUCAACUAGUUCUUACUAAAAAUAAACUUACUAUAAAUAAAAAUAUUCUAGUACCUAAUUAGUACCUAGUUCUUACUAACUAAUUAGUACCUAGGAACUACUGCCCUAAUUACCAUCUAAUUUGAUAAACCUAUAGGGGUGGAAAGUGGUAGCGGAUAUUCCAAUUAUCCAACUAUAAAGUGAAAUAAGUGGUCAAAUUUUACUUGUUUUAUGAUUCGUCUUAGAAAUGUGAUUCAUUUCCUCCCUUACAUGAACCCUAACUCAUUUGAGUCACAUCCACAUCCGAUUUGUUUCCACUCUUACAUGAACCCUAACUAAUUUGAUGGAACUAAAAUAUAAAGAAACCCUAGGCAGAUGUAGGGGAGAGGGAGGAGCAGGCGUGCUCACCUCGGGUGCCUGCGACGAGGGAGGGCAGGGCGGCGUCGAGGUCAGGGUCGCGGCUCGGGCGCGCGGCGGAUGGCGGCGUCGAGGUCGGGGUCAGGGGGCAGCGUCCGGGGCGGCGUUGAGGUCGGGGGUGGCGUUGAAUCUGGGGUCGGGGCGGCGUAGAGGGUGUGCGGAGAGCGUGCGAUGGCCGACGGGCGGCGGCGGCGGCGAGAGUGGAGAGUUGGAUUUGGGGGAAGUGGUCGUGGGGAAGGACGAACCCCGUGGUUAAGUCAAAAGUAGCAGUAGCGCGUUCCAGGAAGAGCGCUGCUGCUACGAUAGCUACAGCACGUUCUGGGAUACACGCUACUGCUACUACUUUCUCUUUUUCCCCCUUUUUCAUUUAGUUUUCUUAACAUUUUGUUUUUUUCCUUUCACCUUAUUCUAUUUCUUUCAUUUUCAAUUACCUUUCUAUUUCCAUUCCAUUUAAUUUUAUAUCCUUUAGCAGUAGCGAGUUUAGAUUAAAACGCGCUGCUACAAAUAAAGUAGCGAUAGCGCGGUUCGUUAUAGGUCGCUACUACAAUGUGUAGCCUAUCGGCUAAGCCAUGGGAAUUUUAGUAGUAACGUGUUUAGAGCAAGACGCGCUACUGCUAGAACUUUAUCUGCAACGCGAUUUGCUCAGGCGCGCUACUGCUGCUUAGCACCAGCGUGCUUUUUUGACCCUCGCUACUGCUAAAGUUCUGUGUAUAAGGUUUCCCCUCGUAGUGUAAGGGUUGUAUAUAUGGAGGAAGAGGGGGGGCAUUUCGUGGCCCUUGGGGAAGGGGUCCGAAACCAACCCUAUCUUUUGUUUCCCCACACAUACGGACUCUAAAAACAGCCUAUACUCCAGUAUUUCGAAAAUACAUGGGCCUCGCGAAAUAAUAAGGUGAUGCAACACCUAGAAUAGCCUCUGGACGGAAGUUAUGAAGUAGCAUCUUGUAUAUUUUGUCCAAGGCUGCAUGCACUCAUUAUGGUGGCUUCAACGUCCUGAAAUCAUCACUUGUAACUCCGUUCUUGUUCCCCUUGCGCAUGCCAUCAUCUCCAUGCUUGUUCUUGCUCCGAUGUUCAUCCUUCUCCAAGCUUGGCCCUUCAUUUGUAAGCAAAACAAAUGUAUCCAAUUUAGGCAGCAUCAUAUUCUCAUGAACAUUAGAAUCAUUACCAAGAAACGAAAGUACCUGGUAAUUUAAUUGGCGUGCGCGAGCUCUAGUAAUUGGUCCAGUAUGUAUAGCAGCAGGGAUUGUGGGUGUAACAAUGGUAUUGAUGUCCUCAUCAUGUUUCCCUUUUUGUCACUGGGAUCAAGCACCGUAAGAUCGAACUCAUCACAAAGCACCUCUUCCCAUUGCAAGAUAAAUAGAUCAAGUUGGCCAAACAAAACCCAAAUAUACGAGGCUAUAAUCAAUCAUGCAUAUAAGAGAUCAAAGAAGACUCAAAUAACUUCCAUGGAUAAAAACAUAGAUCUGAUCAUGAACUCAAAGUUCAUCGGAUCCCGACAAACACAUCGCAAAAAGACAUACACCAUAUGGAUCUCCAAGAGACCACUGUAUUGAGAAUCAAGAGAGAGAGAGGGGAAGCCAUCUAGUUACUAACUACGGACCCAUAGGUCUACAUAGAACUACUCACGCAUCAUCGAGAGGCACCAAUGGACAUGAUGAACCCCUCCGUGAUGGUGUCUAGAUUGGUUUUGGUGUUUUUGGAACUUGUGGCGGCUGGAAUUGAUUUUCGUCGAUUCCCCUAUGGUUUCUUGAAUAUCGGGGUAAUUAUAGAGCAAAGAGGCGGUGCAAGGGGGGGGGAGGGGGCACCGAGGUGGGCACAACCCACCUAGGCGCGCCUAGGGGCCCAGACAUGCGCUAGUGUCUUGUGCCCCAUCGGGCUCCCUCUCUGGUACUUCUUCGGCCCACUGGAUGUCUUCUGGUCCUAAAAAAAUCCACAAAAAGUUUCGCUGCGUUUGGACUCCAUUUGAUAUUGAUUUCCCGCGAUGUAAAAAACAAGCAGAAAAUAGCAACUGGCAUUGGGCACCAUGUCAAUAGGUUAGUACAAAAAAUGAUAUAAAAUGACUAUAAAAUGAUUAUAAAACAUCCAAGAAUGAUAGUAUAACAACAUAGAACAAUAAAAAAUUAUAGAUACGUUGGAGACGUAUCAACAUCCCCAAGCUUAAUUCCUGCUCAUCCUCGAGUUGGUAAAUGAUAAAAACAGAAUUUUUGAUGUGGAAUGAUGCCUAACAUGUUCAUCACAUAAUAUUUUCUUUAUAGCAUGGACAUUUGGAAUUUUAUAUGGUUCAAAGCAAUAGUCUAGUUUUGACAUGAAGACUUUAAUACUCAAGCAUAUCAACAAACAACCAUGUCUUUCAAAAUAUCAACACUAAAGCAAGUUAUCCCUAGCCCAUUAUGCUCAAUCAUUGAUCCAUUCAUGAAACACACUCGCAUAUUAGCUACACCCAGUGCUCAAAUACUAUCAUAGUGCCCCUUAGUUGGUGCUUUAUAAGAGAAGAUGGAGACUCAAAUUCAAAAUAAAAAUUGCAUAAAGUAAAAGAAAGGCCCUUUGCAGAGGGAAGUAUGGAUUUGUAGAGGUGCCAGAGCUCAAAGCGAAAAUUGAGAGAUAAAAACAUUUUGGGAGGCAUACUUUCCCACCAACGAAAAUGACUUAGAUUUUCCAAUACUUUCCAUGCUAGAUACAUCAUAGGCGGUUCCCAAACAGAAACUAAAGUUUAUUCCUUUUUCUACCAUACUUUCACUUUCCAUGGCUAUCUGUAUCCACGAGUGUCCUCCAUACCAACAAUUUCCAUGGAAUUUAUUAUUUGACAAUGUAAAGUAAAUUCAUUUUUUCAUUUCGGGACUGUGCAUCCUAAUACCUUUGUCGUACUCUCGUGCAACGACAAGUGAAUAAACGCUCAUCGUGAGAAUAACAUAUCUAGCAUGGAAAACAUCGGCCACCCUUCACCGCCUCGCGAGCGGUACGAGCACACAAAAAAGAAAUUUAUUUUAGAGAUGGCACAUGCAAAUUUGCUUAGAACGACAUGGAAAUACCGCAUAUAGGUAGAUAUAAUGGACUCAUAUGGCAAAACUAGUUUAAAGGGUUUUGGAUGCACAAGUAGUGAUCAUACUUAGUGCAAAAUGAAGGCUAGCAAAAAGAUUGAGAAGCGUCCAACCAAGAAACGAAAAAUCUCGUACCCAAGCAUUAAGCAUAAGUAACACCGAAUAAUGCACCAUAAGUAGGAUGUAAUUUCAUUUCAUAACUAUUGACUUUCGUGCUUGCAUAGGGAAUCACAAUCCUUAACAUCAAUAUUCUUACUAAAGCACAAGUACUCAUCAACAUGACUCACAUAUCAUAUCGUCAUAUCUCAAAACCAUUACUAAGAACCAAGUUUAUUUUGUCCAAUGAUCUUCAUGUAAGUUGUUAUUAUAUCCUCCUUGGAUAUCUAUCACUUUGGGACUAAUUUCAUAUGUUGCUUUUAAUAGGCUCAAACAAAUAUAAGUGAAGAACAUGAGCGUAAUAUUUCUUUCUCUCAAAAUAAUCUAAGUGAAGCAAGAGAGAAUUUCUAAAAAAAAUUUACUAACUCCCAAAUAAAUAUAAGUGAAGCAUGAGAGCAUUUCUUCAAAACUAACAAAGCACUCCGUGCUCCAAAAGAUAUAAGUGAAGCACUAGAGCAAUUCCAAGGUUCUAAAAAAUUUAAGUGAAGCAUAGGAGCAAGCAUAGCAUAAUUUUUGACUCUCUCAAAAAGGUGUGUCCAGCAAGGAUUCAAGACUUCAAACACAAAGCAAAACAAGCAAAGACUCAUAUCAUACAAGACGCUCCAAGCAAAACUCAUAAUAUGUGACGAAUAAAAAUACAGCUCCAAGUAAAAUACCGAUGGUUGUUAGAAGAAAGAGAGGAUGCCACUCGGGGGCAUCCCCAAGCUUAGUUGCUUGAUACUUAUUGAAUAUUAUUUUGGGGUGCCUCGGACAUCCCCAAGCUUAUCCUUUUGCUAAUCCUUAUUCCUUCAUCCACCGUAAGAUCACCCAAAACUUGAAAACUUCAAUCACACAAAAUUCAACAAAACCUUCGUGAGAUCCAUUAGUAUAAGAAAGCAAACCACUACUAUAAGUACCGUUGAAAACCCAUUCAUAUUUUAUUUUUGCAUUAUAUCUACUGUAUUCCAUCUUUACUAUGGCAAAAAAUCUUCAAAGAAAACCAUAGAAUCAUCAAAACAAGCACACAACACAAAGAAAACAGAAUCUGUCAAAAACAGAACAAUCUGUAGCAAUCUGACUACUUCGAAUACUUCUGUAACUUCAAAAAUUCUGAAAAAUUAGGAUGACAUGAAUAAUUUGUUUGUUAAUCUUUUUCAAAAAGAAUCAACUCAAAAGCACUCUUCUGAUAAAAAUGGAAAAUAAUUUUGUGAGCGCAAACGUUUCUAUUUUUCAGCAAGAUCAAAUCAACUCUUACCCAAAUCAUCCCAAAGGCCUUGCUUGGCACAAACACUAACUUGAACCACAAAAACACAUCUAAUCAGAGGCAUAAUUGGGUAUUUUAUUGAAAACAACAAGAAAACCAAAAGGCAAAAAGAUACAAGUUGGGUUGCCUCCCAACGAGCGCUAUCGUUUUACGCCCCUAGCUAGGCAUAAUGCGUAGGAUCUAAGUGUUGUCAUCUUUAGCUUUGUUUUCCUUGAAAGUGUUUUGGUCAGGGGGUUUCGCAAAUAAAACAUAAAACACAUUAUCCAUGGAAACCUUAGCACUAUCAAUUUUCUUUUUAUCAUAACCCUUUUGAUUUCCGGCAAUAAUCCAAGAAUAGUGUUGAUUAACAUCAUUCAAAACUUGUUGGAUCAUGUCUAAAACAGGGACUUGUUUUUUAAGAUUCUCAUCAAAGAUUUCGUUAUCCCCAAGCAAAUGUCUCAACGCAUAAUCACUAUUAUAAAGAAUUUCAUCAAUCACGGGUUUUUCACAAUUCAUACCAUAAAAAUUAAGAUUUCCCUAGCUUCCCGUAUUAUGUAGUCAAAUUCAUUCAUCAGAACAAGAGUGGCUAAAUUUUUAGCUUUAGGAUUCUUUAUAUCGGGUAACCCAUAGAACAAUCUUUGCAAGGUAGGAUGGGUAUGAAUAAAUUUAGUUUCAAGUUUCAAAACUAGUGCCGAAAUAGCUUCCGCACAAUAUUUAGUCUUUUUAAGUAUAGGAACAUCAUCAAGGCUUAAUUUUCCGACAGAAUUGAAAAAUUCUUGGAUAUGUUCUUUUCCCAUAAAAUUCCCUUGCACCAAGACAAAAGUUUUGGCAUCGAGAUUACCCGUACGCUCCAUUUUAGGAGUUAGCCAUCAUCUGUUUAUGCCAUACCAAAAUCACUCAUGGUGACUUCACAACAAGAUUGCACUCAAAAACCGAUUUGAUGAGAAAACGACAAACGGAUAAGAAGGCGACUAAAACGACAACUUUUUGUGAAGUGGGGGAGAGAAAAAUGAGAGGAAAAUGGCAAAUAAUGUAAAUUGCGAGGAUAUGAGAUUUGUGAUUAGGAACUUGGUUGAUGUUGAUGCUCCUCCCCGGCAACGGCGCCAGAAAUUCCUUUUGAUGUCUGCUAGAACUAUGUCGGUAUUUCCCCCAAAAGGAAAGGAUGAUGCAGCACAACAACGUUAGGUAUUUCCCUCAGUGAUAAGACCAAGGUUGUCGAAUGAGUAGGAGAACCAUGCAACACAACGUAAACAGCCCCUGCACACAAAUAACAAAUACUCGCAACCCGAUGUGUUAAAGGGGUUGUCAAUCCCUUUCGGGUAACGGUGCCAGAAAGCACGUAGAUGGGAGAAAGUUGUAAUAGAUUGGAUAAAUAGAUCACAAAUAAAAUAAAGUGCAACAAGGUAUUUUUGUAUUUUUGGUUUAAUAGAACUGAAAAUAAAAGAAAAUAAAAUAGAUCACGAAGGAAAAUAUAUUAAAGAAGAGACCCGGGGGUUGUAGGUUUCAGUAGUGGCUUCUCUCGAAAAAAAUAGCAAACGGUGGGAAAACAAUUACUGUUGGGCAAUUGAUAGAACUUCGAAUACUCAUGACGAUAUCCAGGCAAUGAUCAUUAUUUAGGCAUCACGUCCAAGAUUAGUAGACCGACUCCUGUCGGCAUGUACUACUAUUACUCCACACAUCGAUCGCUAUCCAGCAUGCAUCUAGUGUAUUAAUUUCAUAGAAAAACAGAGUAAUGCAAUAAGAACGAUGAAAUGAUGCCAACAAGAUCUAUUUAUGUAGAAAUAAACCCCAUCUUGUUAUCCUUAAUAGCAACAAUACAUACGUGUCAUUUCCCCUUCUGUCACUAUGAUCAAGCACCAUAAGAUCGAACCCAUCACAAAGCACCUCUUCCCAUUGCAAGAUAAAUAGAUCAAGUUGGCCAAACAAAACCCAAAUAUCGAAGAAGAAAUAUGAGGCUGUAAUAAAUCAUGCAUAUAAGAGAUCAAAGAAGACUCAAAUAACUUUCAUGGAUAAAAACAUAGAUCUAAUCAUAAACUCAAAGUUCAUCGGAUCCCAACAAACAUACCGCAAAAACACUUACAUCAUAUGGAUAUCCAAGAGACCAUUGUAUUGAGAAUCAAGAGAGAAAGAGAGUGGAAGCCAUCUAACGAUUUUUGCGGGUAAAGUGCACAAGACUCUGCAGAGUGGAAACCUAAUCGAUUAGCCGUGUCCCCUGUUACGGACAACUGAGCCUCUGGAAUUGGAGUAUUUCGGAAAUAUCAACACCAAACAUAAUAAAUUGAUGGUUUAUGAUGAUUUCGGGUAUGAGACACUGGUUGGCGGAACCAUCUCAAUAACAACCAACAUUUUUUAGUAAUUACAAGCAAGCGCUUUUGUUGUAGGAAAAAAUUGGCUUUUUCGCAAAAACUUAAACUUAGAGCCCCAUAGCCAAAUUGCAUAUAGUGAGAGCAUUUUUUGUCUUUCUCUCUAUGACCUGCUGGCAUAUUCAAAAUGCUGACCUACACGGCUGUAACAUCUCAUGUUGCAAAGGAGUUUUCCGACCAGGAGUGAGGCUACGAUCUAUGCUCGGUGAUUGUCCUAUGGAGUCGGAUGGACUCUGUUAUCGUCUACGCUUCCACAUCAUUUAGUUUUUGUCAUGAGUUGGCCUUCGGCCGAAUUUAUUCUAUUGUAAUAAAGACUCUAUAAGAGAAUCGUGUAAUAAAUCAGGUGUGAUUGAACUUUGAAUUUCUCAUCAAUGUACUAUGUGUGCCAGCAUGAUCUUUCGAUGGUACUGAUACACAGAGACUUGACCGCUUUCGGGUCGAGUCGCUACACUCAUCCUCUGGCUGACUCUGAGCUGAGGAAAUAUCAUCUUAUACUUCAUCAAAUUUUGACUAAGAUGUCUUCUUCGGCACUUAUGGCGGUGUAGCCAAUUUUCUUUCACCAGCCAACUUUGCUUCAUCAACCACAUGCGGCACCCGUGGAAUUUCUUCCUCGGACCCAGACUGCUCUUCCAAAUUAUGAGCCAUGACCACUCCUGAGAGAAAAACAACAAUGCGAGGAAAAAUAGGAAGGGGUAAUAAACAUGCACAGAAACAUUUUUGACUGGAGACAGAUAGUUUUUCGGAAGCAGCAAAGGAAUUCAUGGCAUACAUUUUGGAAGAUAUCAUCGAGAGAAUUGCAAUAUGCCAUAAGACAGAAUAACAACUCCUCUAGUCUUUCGAUGUAUAACACAUGAACCAUAGAUCCAAUCACACUAGUACGAGGAACAACUACAAACCAUAGAAGUCACAACUUAGUGAAAUCAAAAGAUCUAUCGCAAGAAAAUAAAAUAGGAGAAAUGGCAGUGGAAAGAACAGCCCUAGGACAGAGGAACGAUAGGGCUAGUUCCAGAUCUGAGUGCCCUAGCUUGGCAGCAAAGAUCAUCUAUGGGAGUGCAGGAUAGAAGAUGUACCGCACUAGCGCGACCAACAGCGGCGGGGCUUCACCGGAGUUGCACGGUGAGGCGCGAUGUCGAUGCUGCUUCGAGCUCAGGCUCGGGCAGAGAGCGAGAGGAAGGGUUUGAGGUCGAACAGAGAAAGAACAAAGGAGGGAGACGGCUGGAGGGGGGUUUACAUAGCCCGAGGGCGUAACCGCUUCCUUCGAGAUACAUGGUCGAUAAGCACGGGACAUUCCACAUUCAACGGACGAGACCACAGUCGUGAGAUCAUGGCACAUGUCAGCUAUUUCCUAUGAAAAUCUCGGUAACUGAACAGAAUGCCGAAGGGUUUGAGGAAGCGCAAUGUGACACCCCCGAUUUGAUCGUACACUAAUCAUGCACACAAACGUGUACGAUCAAGACCAAGGACUCACGGGAAGAUAUCACAACACAACUCUAAAGUAAAAUAAGUCAUACAAGCAUCAUAUUACAAGCCUGGGGCCUCGAGGGCUCGAAUACAAGUGCUCGAACAUAAAUGAGUCAGCGGAAGCAACAAUAUCUGAGUACAAACGUAAGUUAAACAAGUUUGCCUUAAGAAGGCUAGCACAAAAGUAGCGACGAUCGAAAAGGCAAGGCCUCCUUCAUGGACCUCCUAACUACUCCUCGUAGCCGAACUCCUUGUAGAACCAUCCUCGUGAUCCUCUGGCUCCUGGACUCCACCGUCUGGUUGCGGCAUCCGAGAAGAAGAGCAAAAAAAGGGGAAAAGAGGGAGCAAAGCAACCGUGAGUACUCAUCCAAAGUACUCGCAAGCAAGGAUCUACACUACAUAUGCAUGGGUAUAUGUGUAAAGAGGCAAUAUCGGUGGACUGGACUGCAGAAUACCAGAAUAAGAGGGGGAUAGCUAGUCCUAUCGCAGACUACGCUUCUGGCAGCCUCCGUCUUGCAGCAUGUAGAAGAGAGUAGAUUGAAGUCCUCCAAGUAGCAUCGCAUAGCAUAAUCCUACUCGGCGAUCGUCCCCUCGUCGCCCUGUGGGAAAGCGAUCACCGGGUUGUCUCUGGAACUUGUCUGGAUGUCUGUUUUAUUAAGUAUCCAGUUCUAGUUGUCAUAAGGUCAAGGUACAACUCCGGGUCGUCCUAUUACCGAGGGACACAACUAUUCGAAUAGAGAAACUUCCCUGCAGGGGUGCACCACAUAACCCAACACGCUCGAUCCCAUUUGGCCAGACACACUUUCCUGGGUCAUGCCUGGCCUCGGAAGAUCAACACGUCGCAGCCCCACCUAGGCACAACAGAGAGGUUAGCACGCCGGUCUAAAUCCUAUGCGUGCAGGGGUCUGGGCCCAUCGCCCAUUGCACACCUGCACGUUGCAUGGGUGGCCGGAAGUAGACCUAGCCCCCUUAAUACAAGAACAGGCUUACGGUCCAAUCUGGCGCGCGCCGCUCAAUCGCUGACGUCAAGAAGGCUUCGGCCGAUACCACGACGUCGAGUGCCCAUAACUAUUCCCGCGUAGUAGGUUAGUGCGUAUAGGCCAGUGGCCAGACUCAGAUCAAAUACCAAGAUCUCGUUAAGCUUGUUAUUAUGAAGUAACCGCGAACGCCAACCAGGGCCAGGCCCACCUGUCUCCUAGGUGCUCUCAACCCGCCCUGUCGCUCCGCCACAAAGUAAUAGUCGGGGGUCGUCGGGAACCCAGGCCCACAUGUACCGGGGUGGAGCCACCUGUCCUUUCAGCCCCCACAUCGGAAUCACUUGCGGGUACUCAGCGAGCCAACCCGACUUUAGUCACCAUCUGUAUAGUAUGUAGAUAUGUAUUGUAUAUACCCGUGAUCACCUCCCGAGUGAUCACGACCCGAUAGUAUAGCAAGGCAGACUGACAAGAAUGUAGGGCCAAUGAUGAUAAACUAGCAUCCUAUACUAGGCAUUUAGGAUUGCGGGUAAGGUAUCAACAAUUGUAGCAACAAUGACAGACUAUGCAGCAGAAUAGGAUUAACCAAAAGCAGUAACAUGCUACACUACUCUAAUGCAAGUAGUAGAGAGAAGGAAUAGGCGAUAUCUGGUGAUCAAGGGGGGAGGGUCUUGCCUGGUUGCUUUGGCAAGAAGGAGGGGUCGUCAACUCCGUAGUCGAACUGAGGUCGCCGGCAGUCUCAGGGUCUACCGAAAAGAAGUAACGGAGGGGGAACACAAUAAAUUAAUACAAUGCAAACAUAAGCAUGACGAUGCAAGACAUGACAAGGAGUGGUGCUAGGUGUGCCCUAACGCGGUAGUAGGUGAUACCGGCGAAAGGGGGAAACAUCCGGAAAAGUAUCCCCGGUGUUUCGCGUUUUCGGACAGGUGAACCGGAGGGGGAAAGGUUCGUGUUCGCUAUGCUAGGGAUGUGUGGCGGAUGAACGGACUGUGUACUCGAAUUUGUCUCGUUUUUCUGAGCAACUUUCAUGUACAAAGUAUUUUCAUCCGAGUUACGGAUUAUUUUAUACUGAUUUUUAAAGUUUUAAAUCAUUUUCUAAAUUAUUUUUAAUUCGAAAAUUAAAUGUUAAAUUACUAUGGGUACAUAGAAGUGUACCCACAGAUGGGCUUGGGUGGCUGACCAGUAGGCCCAGUUGACUUAGUCAACUGCCCAGUCAGCCACUGCUGACUGAUGGGGCCGGUCAAAGUCAAUAGCCCAGUCAGCAUUGCCUGUUAACUGGUCAAACUAACUAAUGGGUCCCGCUUGUCAUAGUCUCAUAAUAAUUAAACAAGGUUAAUUAGCUUUAACUAGAUGAUUAUGUUAAUCUAAUCUGGAUUAAUUAAGUUAAUUAAUUAUUUAAUUAAUUAAUAUUAUAUAUAUUUAAAAAAAUCUUUUUUUGUUCGAAGAGGCGUGGGCCCCAGUGGCACAAAGGCCAUAGCGGGGCGGUGCGUUAGCGGGUGAAGCCCAAACGGGCGCUGGCCAUGGGGGCGCACCCGGUGUGGCGCUCCGAGCGCCGGUGGCUACGGCGGGGCGGCCGCAGUCGGCCCGAAGCGACCUGGGACAGGCGUUGGGCGCCUGGACCCGGGCGCGUGACGGGGGGAGGCAAACAGGGUGGCAGCAGGGCGCCGACAGCCACUGCGACGAGCGGCCGCAGCUGCAGGGGAGAGGGAGUAGUGGCAGGGCGAGGCCACAUGCUUGGGCCGGCAGCAGGGACGGGCUCCGGAGCCGCGGCGAGGCAGCGAGGGCACGACGAUGCCUGCGUGGUCGCGGGAGGCGAGGGGAGCAGGGCAGCAGCUGGACGGCGCGAGGGCGCGGUCGCGCGAGCGGGGGCCGAUGGCCAGAGCGGAAGGGAAUGGCNNNNNNNNNNNNNNNNNNNNNNNNNNNNNNNNNNNNNNNNNNNNNNNNNNNNNNNNNNNNNNNNNNNNNNNNNNNNNNNNNNNNNNNNNNNNNNNNNNNNNNNNNNNNNNNNNNNNNNNNNNNNNNNNNNNNNNNNNNNNNNNNNNNNNNNNNNNNNNNNNNNNNNNNNNNNNNNNNNNNNNNNNNNNNNNNNNNNNNNNNNNNNNNNNNNNNNNNNNNNNNNNNNNNNNNNNNNNNNNNNNNNNNNNNNNNNNNNNNNNNNNNNNNNNNNNNNNNNNNNNNNNNNNNNNNNNNNNNNNNNNNNNNNNNNNNNNNNNNNNNNNNNNNNNNNNNNNNNNNNNNNNNNNNNNNNNNNNNNNNNNNNNNNNNNNNNNNNNNNNNNNNNNNNNNNNNNNNNNNNNNNNNNNNNNNNNNNNNNNNNNGGUGAGCUCUACGGGGUAAACGAGAGGGGAAAGAUGAAGGAUGGGAGGCCUCACCGGGCCCUGUAGGCGUGCAACAGCGAGCUCGGGGAGGGCUCGACGGUGGCAUGCUCCGGCGAUGGGGACGGUGUCCUCGGACGCAAGCAGAUCGGUCGGGGGAGAUGGAGAUGGGACCGCGAGGUGGCGGGCGACGGAGCCGGCGAGGGUGGCGACGUGCACGUCGGGCGCGACAAGUUCGUGCCCCGAUCCAGAACGAGCAGAGAGGGAGAGGGGAUCGGGGCGAGGGGAUCGUGGGGAGGGAAAGUGGGGAUGAGUGGGGAGG